rnacentral:lncRNA from 1 species
AAAACAUUAUCUUAAUGUAUCAUCAUUAUUCACUAGUGUAGAGACCCGCACGAUGUAGCAGAUAAAUAAUAGAAACAAAAUUUUAAAAUUUUAAUAAAAUUUGUAUUUACAGCUUAUUGAUGUAUAGAAAACCAUACCAUGUUAAAUACAGACAAUUUGCAUGACUAAAUUCAACUGCUAAAAAAAUAAAAUUAUAGUUAAAAACUUAUAUAAUUUUUUUAAAAUCAUCAAAAUACAAUAAGAGACAUACAAUUUUAUCGUAUAUGUGCCUCUUGAACAUUUCAUUGUGAAAGAUAAAAAAGAGUUAGCUCCAACGCAGCUAAAUCAACCUAGUGGGCACUUAUAUAUAUGAGCCAUGGCUCGACUUUGCGAGACAAUGCUUUUUGAAAGAGACAAUGUUCUUUGCAUGUUCUUCUUCUUCUUUUUCAUCGUCCUCAUCAUCUUCAUUAACACAAUAAGAGAGAGAGCUAGAUUAGUGUGGGGUGGGGGAUUAGAUGAUGUUCUUUUUUGCAUGAAAAAUAAUAGGCCAUGCAAAAGAGAGGGGGGCGUGGGGAUUAAUAGAGGUGGGGAGUGGAUUGGAGUUACAAAACCCACUCAUUAGUAAAAUAUGAUGUAUAUAAUUAAAUGUUGCAUUUUGGAUUAAGGGGAAGAAGAAAUGACAAAUAUUGAAGAGAAAAAUAAGUAACGUAUAAAUUAAAGAGUAAAUUGAUUAGAGAUUAUUGAAUAGAGAGGAAGGGAGGAGAAAAGCCAAGGUCAUUGAAUAGGAGGUGAGGUUGAAAUAAAACUUGCCAUGUGUCAAAAAUAUUAGGAAUUCAUAUAGGUUAAUAGAUAUUUAAAGCCGUAAUGGACUUCUAAACGUAAUUAACUUCACUUGUGAUUUAAUUAAUCACAAUUCAUUUGCUAGUUGUAAAUGGGUUAGGUUGGUCCAAAUUGAUUUGACCGGUUAGUAUAUUUGCCUAUAAUGUAACUUAAUAAGAACCAAUUAUUUUCCUUCGAGAAGGUAUAGAAGAAAAGAAAAAGAGAAAAAGAGAGAGAGUGUUUAUAAAAAAGAGAAAAAAAACACAAGGGUGUUGUGAUCAAUCAAGAAAUAACCUUCUAAUUCUGCUGCAAAAAAUAAACCAUCAAAUUUAGGAAGAAUCCGGCUCAUUAUUUUUUCUAAUAACAUUUUAAAAACAUAUAUAUAUUUUAUCAAACGGAAAGUACGAGUUAGGUUUGAAUCCAAAUUUUCAGAGUCAACAACUUCAAAUUCAGUAUAAUUAGCUUACUUUAGACCCAAACAAAUCUAACCCGAAUCUUGCCUUAUUUACAGUGGUAAGUAAUCGUUUUCUUUGAUUGAUUUCACUUCAUCUGAUCUGCAUUUCAAUAAUAUUUUAUUAUUGGAUUCGAAUUGAAAUAUACUAUAAAUCCGACCCGUUAGCACCUUUAAGUGGAUUUGACGUAAUGAGAUCACCCGAGGUUUCACGUUUAAUCAUAAACUUUAUUCUCGGGAGAGCAAUUUUAGCGGUCAACCGUUGACUCUUUUAGUGGUCAACCGUUGACUCGAGUCAAGUUGAAAAGUCAACGUGAGUUUUCACUAUUGGGCCGGGCCAUAUAAGUUGGGCCUCCAUGGACCGGCCCAACACAUUCACGCGUGUCACUCUCUUGUAACUGUGUGAUACAUUUCCGUUACACCGAAGAGCGCCUCACAUGGACAUACGCUCGACAGUGGGGCCCACACCGCAGUACGCUGUGGGGGAAACUUGAGCGAGCGUUAUGUGCUUUGCCGCAUCAAUAAAUGAAAGAAUAAUAAAUGAAUGAAUAAUAUACAUUUUAUUAAGAGUUAAUUUCACAUAAAUUUCUGUAAAUAUAGUUAAUGACAAAUAUACUUUUAUAAAAUUUAAUUUUUAUAUAUUAUUCUCGUAAAAGUUCUAAUACUUUCAAAUAUAUCAUUUUGAUUUAUUACCAUUAGAGAACGAUUAGAUAAUUAUUUAUAUUUUUAAUUUUACCAUCAUAAAUAUGUCUCUUCAAAAGUCAUAACAAUAUAAUAUAAUAAAAAUAAAAAUGUCAAAAACUAAUCAGAUUAAGUAUUUAAUCUAUAGUUAACUAAAUUUUUCUAAUGAAUAUAUUUAAAAAUAUCAGGACUUUUAUAAAAAUAAUAUAUAAAAAUUAAACUUUAUAGUAAUAUUUGUUAUUCACUGUAACCCUUUUUUGAAUUAUUCCCUUGGUGUAACGCUUUUUUUCGUCACGGGUUUGUUGGGCGCAAUCAAAGGUGGAGUGGAGGCCCACCCUCACAUCUUUAUGUUACUAUAUAUAAAUACAUUAACAAAAUUUAAGGAUUUAUUUGCAUAUUUACUUCUCUAAACAUACACAAAUUAUUUUAAAAAAUUAGCGCUAUGUUUAUAAUUUUUUUAAUUUUUUUUUGUAAACUUUUUAGAAUUGUUUAUGUAAAGUUGAUUUUUGCACAUAUAAAUCUGAAAACUUUAUUUUAAGUGUAUUAGAUUUUAGGUGUAGUCUCAUCCAAAUUAACUGAAAUGCUCGAGAUACGCUGGAUUAAAUUAAAUUUUUUUUUUUUUGAGUUGAACUAGAUUGAUUAAGGAGUUAAAAUUUAAAUUUGAAUUAAUUUUUUUAUCAAGCAACUAAUUUUCGAACUUCAUGGAUUGGAUCGAUUUUCAAAACACUGGAUCUAAACGGGUCGAAUUAGAAUUUAAAUACUAGUAUAUUCACAUGCUUUAAUAAGUGUGGAUAUAAUAUAUAUAUAUUAUAUUAUAUAUAUAUAUAUAUAAUAUAUAUAUAUAUAUAUAUAUAUAAUAUAUAUAUAUAUAUAUAUAUAAUAUAUUAUAUAUAUAUAUAGAGUGGGCUGGUAUGUUUCUAGAAGCACGGAGUCCUCUGUGCUUCUAAGUUGUUUUCGAUGUUCGGACUUUCGAAUUGACGAUCGGCUCUAUUAGAGUUGAUAUAGAGUAUUUGAAAUACCUAAAAAAUAAAUUUUGUGAUUUUUUGAUAUCAUUUGCCUAGUGAUUAAAGGGGCUCAAAAUCAAUAAUUUUAACGAUCGUGAUGAGCCGCUUGCAAGUUUAACGGUAUAGAAGUAUUCAAAUCAUAUAAACUUUUGAUAGAAAAUUCUUUAUACCGUAUAAAACAAGAUCAAUAAUUUUGAUCUAAAAUUUUAAUGCAAUAUCAUCAUAUUUUGUAAGAUUUUUAUUUUCAGUAGUUGAUUUUGAGCCAUUUCGAUCAUUAGGCAAAUAUUAUCAAAAAAUCGCAAAAUUUAUUUUCUAGAUACUUCAAAUACUCUAGAUCAAAUAUAACGGAGUCGAUCGUCGAUUCGAAAGUCCGAACAUCGAAAACAACUUGAAAAUACGGAACGCUCUGUAUUUCCAGAAGCAUACCAGAUGCACUAUAUAUAUUUUCAUUACACUCCUCUCCUUUCUCUCCUUUGCUCUCGAAUUCGGCAACAUCUGAUUGAAUGUUCACUCAUUAACGUCACCCCAAAAUUCCCCCCAAACUAAUAAACCAAAUGAGAGAAGAGCAAAAAAAAGUAAAGAGCGAGAAAAGUGGAAUAAAAACGAAUGAAAAGAUCUCUCGCUUUCUCUUUCUUUUCAUCUCUGUCGCUCUCUCCACUCGGCUAUUAAUGGCGGAAACGUAGAAAAAAAGAGGAGGAGGACGACGACGACGACCCCAUUUCUCCCGAAUCAAGUAGAGAAAAAGCUCCCUUUUUCUUUUCUUCUUCUCUUCUCUCCUAGAAGAUGCCGAUGAUUCGGUACCAGAUACGGAACGAGUACGGCUUAUCGGAUCCGGAUCUCUACCGCGCGGCGGAGAAGGAUGACCCCGAGGCCAUCCUCGAGGGCGUCGCCAUGGCCGGGCUCGUCGGCGUCCUGCGUCAGCUCGGGGAUCUCGCCGAGUAAGCUUGAUUUUAGCUUAAAUUUGGGGGUUUUGGUGUUUAUCUGUGUUUUUUUUAUGGAUUUUCUUUUCUUUUUUUUUUGGUGAUGGAUUGGUGGUAAAUUGGAGAAUUUUGUUGAGAAUUUGGAAGGGUUUGGGAGUGUGCUUUGGUAGAAUGCAUAAAUUGUGGGAAAAAGAUGGCUUUCCAUUACUAUCCAGCUUAUUUGGGCUUAUUUAGUUCUCAUUUGUGCUUUUUUGGGGAUUUUGGCUGUUGGGUUGUUGGUAGAAUUGGGGAUUUUCGAGGGAAUUUGGAAGGAACUGGGAGUUUUGGGCUAUUUUAAGCAUUUUAGUGGGAUAAAUGAGUGUGAGGAGCUUUUUAAUUUUGCUUGUGUUGUUAGUUGUAUUAAUGUAACGUAGAAAAAUGUUGUCUUUCCAUUUCUACGCAUCCUAAUUGGGCUCCUUUUAGUGCUUAUUUGUGCUUUUCUGGUGUUGGGUUGGUGGUGGAUAUGGGGAUUUUGUAGGUAAAUUGGAAUUUUAGGCGAUUUUUUUUACUACUUUAAUGUUAUUGUUAACAUUUUCUUAGGAUAUAUGAAUGUGAGCAAUGCUCUAGCUUAGCUUGCAUCCUUGUUAGCAUAAUUAAUUAAGUGGGGAAUUCUUGUUUUCUUUUUCUAUCUAGCUUCAUGCAUGCUUAAUAAUCACCAACUUUUAGAUAGUAAAAUCACCAUAUAAAAUGAGAACCAGAGGGUUGUGUUUUUUGGGACAGCUUUAUCGACAUUUUGAGGAGUGGGCACCAAAUUGAUUCUAAUAUGAGGGGUAUUUAGAUUGACGGAGAAAAGUUUCUAUCCAAGGAAUUAGAAAGAGAAACCAGGAAUAAAAAUUAAGCACAAACUUUUCCAUUUUCUGGCUAGCAUGAAUUUAAUGCAGCUACUUAAAGGGUCGUAUUUUGGUUAGCGAUUAGUGCCUGUUAAACCAGCAUGUCAAUUGUGUCAAUUGCAAAGUGGAAAUGAGAUUUCGACGUCCAAAUGCAGAAGCUCCUCUUCGGAGCUUCUAACUUUGCCAAAAACAGAUGUCGAGGGGAUGUUAUUAUAGUACUUCCCAUAGCAACAUUACUCAAAUAACACUUUGUCGAACAAUAUUGCACCCUACAGCAAGGUCAAACAUAUUCUGUUCUAGUUUUAGUAAGCUGUUAUUUAAAUGAUGGUUUGCCCCUCAAGGAAAUACAAAGAGUUUAGUUGUUAACAAGAUAAUUAAGGUAGACCCCAAAUCCUGAAAUGUGGCCACCUCCUUUUUUGCUAAUUAUUGAGAUGAGGCACAUAUCAAAUAUUUUGAUCUCUACUAUAACAUUUUAUUCUCUAGUUCUUAGUAAACUUACCACAAAACAUGUUUCCUGAUUCUUUUUUGUCCUCUUUACUUAGCCUUUUUUGGUAUUAUCGUACAUAAGACUGCCAUUCUUAUCUGCACUAUUAAGUGAUUUAUAUUUGUACUAGUUUAUAUGUAUAUGAAUACUCGCUUUUUUUGCAAUAGAUUUGCUGCAGAAAUUUUUCAUGAAUUGCAUGAAGAAGUGAUGGCCACUGCUUCUAGAGGGCAUGGAUUAAUGCUUCGUGUACAGCAGCUAGAGGCUGAAUUCCCAUCCGUCGAGAAAGCCCUCCUUUCUCAGAUUAGUAAUUCAAACAUUGAGUACAAUGAUGGUUAGCGUCCUUUUUUUUUCUUUCUUUCUUCUUUUCAGUAAAAAUUGUGCUAAUUACCCUUUUAGUAUUGCUGCUCCAUUUGGACUUUUCAGAUAUUGUUCUCAGACUAGAAUAUGCUGAAUGAUUUGAUUUUCCCUUUUUUUCUGCUUCAAGCUAAAUAUUAGUAGCUGCCGCGAAAAUGUAAUUGAACAUGGUUUAAUAAUGUAGGUUUGGUGUAUAUGUAUUGUUGUUUGAUGACUAUCGCAUCUCUCAUAAUUCAACUAUUUAUGAAGGAUCACAUUGCAAGCUAUUGAAUUAUCAAACUAACUUGUACUAAAAUAUCUUUGUGGUUUUUGCAUGCUCUUUCUUUUAAGGAUUCUUAUAAUGACCUUUUAUGCAGGUACUGAAUGGCAUGCUAAUCUUCAACUGGGUCAGAAUUUAAUCACACAAGGAGAUAUGCCCCGCUUUAUUUUGGACUCUUACGAAGAAUGCCGUGGCCUUCCUCAGUUGUUUACACUGGACAAGUAUGUUACUAAUAUUUGCCUUUUAGUUUACUAAAAUGCAGGAAACCCACAUAAAUACCACAAUAUUCAUAGUAACUGUCUAAGUGGAAUGUAUGGGGACAAAGUCGAACUAUCAGCAUAGUAAAAGGCUAUCCAUACAAUUACCCUAUUUCAUGGGUGCAAAAUGAAAAUUAUGAUACUUAUAGGGCAUUUCCUGCUAUCGAACUUUUUUUCUUUUAUCAGAUCAUAUCUCUUGAUCAUUUCUUGUUCAAUCGUGUAGGUUUGAUGUUGCUGGUGCUGGAGCAUGUUUAAAGAGAUACUCCGAUCCAUCUUUCUUCAAGACGGAGUUUGCCUCCUCCAACGUGAUGGAAACAGAUGUUCCAAGAGAAAAGAAAGUUCGUAAGAUCAAGGUAAAACUGUUCAACAGCAGAUUUGUAUCCUAAGGGUCUUUGACAUAUUAAUAUAACCGCAAUAUCAUUUUGUUUACAUGUGUCCUGUAAAAUCCCUUUUUUUCUGUGAAUGUUACCCUCCGAAGGAUGUCAGAUGAUUAUUUAUUAUGCUUGAUAUUUUAGAAUAUCUCUCAGAACAUUGUGAAGUUAUUAUUAUUAUUUUUUUCCUCUGAAAUUAUGUCCAUAAAUCUUCAAUUUAGGCUUAAAUUAAAGGCAAUUAGUUCUAUUAACACCUAGAUUUUUUUUUGAAAAUUCACCUUAUUCUUGUGUAUUUCAGAAGAAGGCAUUGCGCUGGAGGAAAGGUGAAACCCUUGAGUCUUUAUUGGUCACUCACCCUAAUUCUAAGUAAGUGGUUCUGCUUAAAUUAGCAAAUUGAUCAUGUAAAUCAAACAUAUUUGUAAUGAAAAUGCUUUAAUGACACAAGUCACACAAAAAGACAAUUAAACUUUAUAAUUGGCUUCUUGAAAAAGCUGCUUGUCCCUUGUACCCUACCAGGGACAAUUUCACGUUAUUGUGCUAAUUUUUUGUAGAUGCUUUUACAAAUAUACCCCUCUUUAAAAAAAACAUCUACUCGCAAAUACCCCUGUAAAAUCUGUUUUUCAUAUAUACCAUUGAGACUGCAGUUUCUUUCGAAAAUACCUUAAGUUGGUGAGUUAUCCAAUUGGUGGGGUAUUUCUUUUAGUAUGAGAGCUCAUUUCUUAGAAAUUAAGUUCUUCAAGGUGUAUAUGUUAAUGUGAUUAAAUAUUUUAUUGUAAAUAUCUCUUUUCAUCAAUUUUUUUUUGUGUUCCCAUUUCAUGUAUAUUUUAAAUUAAAAUUUGCUUUACAUGCAGUGUGCAGCCAAUUUCUUCGGAAAAGCUUCCAACUAAAGCUGUAAAGUUGAAAAAUAAGCACUUUCUGGAGUUGGAGAAGACUAAAAGAAGCCAUACUGAACAGCUUCUUCUAGAUGUUAUUUCAUCUCAGCAGAAAAUUCUGCUUGAAGAUUCUAUGAGGCAAUCCGCCAUGAAAACAAAAUCAAAUGGUCCAAUCAAUUUGGCUCCUCUACUACAAGAGACUGUGAAUGCCAAUCUUAUUGAGUCUCCCCCUAGAGAAGUGAAUGGGGUGCCCAUAAAUGAGUUGGAUACUGUAAACAGAAAUGAUUUUGGAUUGUCCGGAAAACAACUAGAGCAAUUUGGUGAAGUGGAAAAGACAAGUAGGAGUCCUCAAAUUUCGGAGCAAAACAAAUUUGUUUCCAAUGCAGAAAAUUCAAUGGAAACUGGUGCUGAAAGCUAUAUUUCUGCUGAGAUCGGCAGUGAACAUGAAAAUUUUGUUGAUGCCCUUAAUACUAUGGAAUCAGAAAUUGAAACGGAUGCUGAAAGCAAAGCUGUAGAACCUCAUGGAAUCAACUCCCAGAUGAAAGAAGAGCAGGAAGAAUUGCAAGCUCAAAUUUCAGAAUCAGCUUCAGAGAAAAACUUGAGCAAAUCAUCAGGGUUGAGUGAUUUAUUCAGGAAUGGAAUCACAAUCUCUUCUGAUUCAGAUUCUCAAAGUGAUUCCACUGCGCCAAAACCAACUGGUGAAGUCAAUGUUGUUUCCAAUUUUGAUACCAACUUAGAACGUCAGCUUAGCGAAACUAAUGGUGAGACUCAAACAGAGCUCGUUGAGAACGAAGCUCGAUUAGGAACUGGAGACCAUGAUGUGAUCUCAAAUUGUAGUGAAGUCCAAUCAAGUGAUAAUCAGGCAAUUGAAAGUUUGGAUGGUAAUUAUAGUGUAAUUAUAAGCUCUCAAGCAACUUAUUACUUAUUUUAUUCUUUGCCAGUUUCUUCAAAUGCUCUUUUAUUUAUGUGAUCCUUUACUUGAUUGUGCUGGCAGGUGUACCUUUUAAGUGUAAAGAUCAUUCUGAACAGAUUCAUUCUACAGAGCACACAGAAAAGCUUACUACCGAAGCUACUGCUGAAACACUAGACCUUCCAAACAAUGUGUCACACACACAAGCCGAAAUUACUUGUGAAGAAGCCCUUCUAGGAAGCCGUUUUGAAGACUUGUUGCAUUCGUCAACUCUAUCCACAGUAGAAGAGCAUCCAAAACCAGCUAAUCAAGAAGUAGAAGGACAUGCAGAUACGAGCAUGCUGCUGACCAAUGUUUCUCCUUCCUCGGAAAUCGGUUCUGAUAUUUCAUCACCUGAUGAAUUAGUUGCGGAAAAGGAAAAUGUUGUGUUCCAAACAGAUUUAUCUCAUGAACUAUGCCCUUAUCAUGAGUGUGCUAAUGACAAUGAGAAAGACUUCAAUGGUAAGUUAAUUUGUGUCUCUAAAUUACAGUAUGGCUCCCCAACAUUUUUAGGAGGCUUCAGUUUGACCCCCAACCUUAAAUGUUACAACUGGGUCCUUACAUUUCAUAACUUUGGUUAAAUUUGAUGGAAACUCCCUUGUAAUUACCAUACGAGAAAUUUAAAAUCACAUGCAAGUUAUGCAUGCAGCAGUCAGGUAAUGGUUACAUGGAUAUUUCUGCACUAUCUGAUAUAGAAGUUCAGGCAAAGAAAAGAGUGCAGCUAAAAGCAAAGUCUGGACCCAAUUGUAACAAUUAACAGAUUGCAGACCAAACUGAAACUCACCCAAAAGGUUGCAAGAUUCCAUUUACUUGCACAUUCAUGAUGCUUUCUGCUUUCAAUUACUAUAUCUCUCUUCUCUUGCAACUGAGAUAAAAUCUCUGAAUAAAUUUUAUGUUGCAGAACGAGAUUCAGAAGACAUUGAUAUCCCAUCUGGAUUGCCUGAUCAUUUUCCUCAAAAGCAAACUGGAAUUAUUGUUGAUGAGGCUCGUGUGCAAAUUAGUGAAGAGCAAUCGCUUGAAGAAUUUGUUCAAGAAUCGGAAACUUGUUCUCAAUCACACCUUGAUGAAAAAGUUUUACUGUUCAAUGAGCACUUGCCGCUUCCUUUAGAUGUGCCUGCUGGGGAGCCUCAGAGGUCAUUUACGGAAGAUAUAGGAUUUUCAGCUACAGAGUUGGACAAUUUUAUUCAAUUUGGUGAAGUUUUAGAUGGUGCUGAAAAUUCUAUAGAAAUCAAUCUAAAUGAUAUCUCAUUCCCUUGCCUUCUACCAUCCGAUAAUCUUGAUACUUGUAAAUCGGGAGAUGAAUAUCCAGAAAAUAGUUAUGAGAAGAAUAUUCAGCAAUUAGAAGAACUAUUUUGGAGCAAUGACUUAUUAAUUAAAAAUUCUGUUGUUGCGAACGACAGUAAUUAUCAUGAUCUUUCUUCUAUCUCUACUUCGGAAUUACAAAAGGAUUCUGCUAUGAGUGCGGGAGAUUUGAAUCAGCCUAAUGUGGAGCCUACUGAGACAUCAAGCUCUAAGAAUGUUGAAAAAUUGGACUUGGAUGAUACUUUUUCUAUGUCUCUCUCAUCUAAGGAGGAAGAACAUCCAUCAGCUUUAUGUAGAGCUCGGCAAUCUGAGAGAUUUGAUGAUGAUUUAUUUGAUCAUUUUGUUGCCAAGGACUUUUGUCCUCAUAAUGAAACUCCAGUAUAUUUGUUAGACCAAAAAGAAGAAGAUAAUACUUCACAAAUUUCUCUCCAACAUGAUAAUGAGGGAACAAAAGAUGAUUUAUCUCAUUCUACUGAUGACCUUUGGGAGCCUGCGAGCCCUCCUCAUGCGGAAGCCUUUCAGUGGCAAGCUAACAAUGAAUUGGAUUUGACUUCUUUAGAGUCAAAGGAUGAGUAUAUUGGGUUUGAUAUUUCUGCUAACAAGGAGUUGGAUUUGGCUUCUCUAGAUCAAAAAGAUGAGUAUCUUGGGUUUGAUAUUUCUGCUAAUGAGGAGUUGGGUUUGGCUUCUCCAGAUCAAAAGGACGGGUAUAUUGGGGUUGAUAUUUCUUCUAUGGGCUUCAAUACUAAGUUAUCAAAACAAGAUACGGGACAAGACUCUCAUGUCUAUUCUAGUGAGGGAAAGAUUACUGAAUCGGAUAUAUCUCCUUCCGAGAACACCGAAUAUAAUGUCCGAAAGGAAGUCUCUCUCUCGUCUGAGUUAGUUUCUCAUAUCCUUGAUGAUAAGCCAUCGGAACAAAUUUCAGAACCAAAGUCUCAUGAAUUUUCAAGUGAGAGAAAGAUGCCUGAAUUCGACAUAUCUCCUUCUGAGAAUGCUGAAGUUGUAGAAACAGGAAAGGAAGUUUCUCUCUCGUCUGAUGAGGAUUCUCAACUUGAUUCAACCUGCUCCAAGUCUCAUGCGCUUGAUGAUAAAAUAUCUGAACAAAAUUCUGAACAUAUCUCUUCAGGAGAGAGAAAAACUGUUGGAUCAGAAACAUCUCCUUUAAAGAAUGUGGAACUAAUGGAACUAGAGCCGGAAGGUUCUCACUCAUCUGAUUUUGGUUCUCAGCCUGAUUCAGUUUGCUCCAAAUCUCAGCUCCUUGAGGAUGAUAUAUCACAACAGGAGUCAGAACCAAUGUCUCAUAUGUUUUCUAGUGAGACAAAGAUUCUUGAGCUGGAUAUUUCUCCUGUGGGGAAUGCAAAAUUUGCAGAAGAAAGGGAAUAUUCUCUCUCUUCCUAUGAGCCUCAACAUGAUCCAAACUGCUCCAAGUCUCAACUCGAUGAUGAAAUAUCAAAACAAGAUUCAGAACAUAUUGCUAAUGCCCGUCCUAGUGAGAGAAAUGCUCUUGAAUUGGACGUUGCUCCUCCUGUGAGUACCAAAUUUACAGAGCUAGAAAAGGAAGUUUCUCUCUCUUCUGAGUUUGAUUCUCAAAUUCUUCAAACUAUGUCCGCUUAUCAUUCUAUUUCUAGUGAGAGAAACAACCUUGAAUUGGAUUUAUCUCCUCUGGAGUUUUCCAAAUUUAGAGAACUAGAAAAGGAAGUUUCUCUCUCUUCUGCCUUGGAUUCCCAGCUUACUCCUUGCUCUAAUUCUCAUAUGCAUGAUGAUAAACGAUCGGAAGAAGACUUAGAACAACAGUCUUAUGCCUUUUCUAGGGAGGGAAAUACCAUUGGAUUGGAUAUAUCUCUUCCAGAGACAGAAGUUUCCCUCUCUUCUGACUCCGACUCUCAAGUCGUUCCAAGUUCUUUGGUGCCAGACAUUUCAACAGUUGCAUCAAUAUCCUUUCCAAGUACUAUGAUGUCCAGUUCUGGGAAAGCUACCGAAUUAUCAUUCAUACUGCAAACUGAUGAAUCAAAUUCAAAUCUUUCGUUACAGAAUUUCGAAAAACUGCCACCUCUUCCCCCUCUUCAAUGGAGAACAGGAAAGCUUAACGGGCAUUUCUUUAAACCUGUUGAUGAAAACAUUCUGUCGAAUGAGGACAAGAAGAGUGAGUUUUGUUUGCCACCAGAAGAUGGAUCAGUUCAGCCACCAAAUCCUUAUGAAUCUCAAUCAACAGGAGAAUUUGGUAAUCUUCAGCAUGAUAUAUCAAAAUUAGAAGAAAAGACACGACAAAUGAGGUUAUCUGAGCUACCACCGAUUGUUGAUUUUGAGAAAUCGCAUGCAUCAAACCCAUUCAUACCUAGUGAUGAGAUGAGUUCUCAAUAUUCUUGGCAUAAUGGUUUAAUAACUGUAGAUAGAGAAACAAUGCAACCUGAGAACCCCUUCUUGCAUAAUUAUGGUAGAGCUUCAGAAGGUGAAAUUGGGGUUCUUCAGAAGCCAUUAUUGUCGGGAUGGGGCAGUGUGCCUCAACUGCCUAUUUCCUCUUAUGUGACUUAUUUAGAUGAGAAUCAAAUUUCUCAGUUUGUACCAACUAUGGAAGACGAGCAAAUCAGCAGGAGACCUUAUUCAAUCCGCAAUAGGCCAAGAGACCCACUUAUUGAAGCUGUUGCUGCUCACGACAGAAGCACGGUAAUUAUGACAAAAAAAUGCUCGCAACUUGAUAAGUCUUCGAGCAAUUAAAAGUUUAUUGUUGCUUCUUUAUUCCUUUCAUUCUUUCCUCCUGUUCCCUAAUGUGAUAAAUGAUUGUCCAGUUGAGGAAGGUAUCAGAAAUUGUUCAGUCUUCGGAUAAGCCAAAGUCGGAUGAAAGAAAUUCAUUGCUAGAACAGAUCAGAAAUAAGGUCAGUACGCUGGAGAAUUAUGCCUUUUGGGCAAACAGACUCUGGCUAUCAUAUUAUUCAUUUGGAAACAGGUCCUGAAUUUUAAUAUUGUGGAUUUGGACCCCUCAUCUAGCAUAUUAUUUGAUGUAAACAAAUUCCUUCGGAACUUAACAACCUCUAGUGCUUUUCUGAUGGAAUAUUCUGUAACUUAUAUUCUGUAACUUAUAAUCUGUUGCUUGAUGGAAGUAUUGGUAACUCUUUUGAUUGGAAACUGUUAAGAACUAACAGAAUGUGACAGAAGAAAUAAACUAAAAUACAGGGACCUGUUCCUUAUGACCUUAUAGGUGAAGGGAUGUUCCUACUAUUAUAUUCUUUUUUAAUCUCUGUGCUUUUCUUAUCUAUUGGAUUUUUUACUCUUUUUCAGGCUUUCAAUCUAAAGCCAGCUACUGUAACAACACAAAGCACUAAAGUCCCUCCAACAAACCUGAAAGUCGCUGCCAUCAUAGAGAAAGCUAAUGCAAUUCGCCAGGUUAGUCCAUUAAUUGCAUAAAAAUUCUCUCUCUCUCUUCUUUUUUUUUUGAACAACUUUGGACCUGAUUAUCCUCUUGCGGAGUCAUAGGCCAGAACGGCCCUGGCCGUAAUCUUAGCAUGGGAUUCAUUUCAAUCUGGGUUAGGGGGCAUUGCAGUCCAUAAAGGGAAAUUUUGGCCUAAAGUUUUAGAUUUUAAAAAAAAAGAAGAAAAGAGUGCAGAAUUUGUAAAAUUGUAAUAGUAAAUUAUCUAUGUGGAAACACCUUUCCUUUCCUCCUCUCUUACUUGUAUAUUAAUAGGCUUUUGCGGGAAGUGAUGAAGAUGAUGAUGGAGAUAAUUGGAGUGACUCGUAAGUCGUGAUAAUUUCGUGGCACUCUAGGAUUUUCGUUCUAUAGAACUAUGCUAAACUACGGGAAAUUUUCCACCGGGAGAAUCGUACCAUCGAGCAACGUCAUAAAUGUCUGCAUUUUGCUGAAGAAUCAAUGAGAGUCUAGGACAACAAAUUCAUACAAUAGUGUAAAAUAUUCCUUUUUUUGUUUCUUUUUAGUUUUUCCUCCCCUUUCUUUUGGUUUCCGUUGUAAUAUGUUAGUAAUUAGUCUCAUGUUAAUUAGUUGCAGAAGCUCUAGUUGGUAGUCAAAAGUCUCAAAGAGGCUAUGCUCUUGUAGUUGUUUUAAGUUGUAAAAUCUCUGUAAUUUUUGGGAUGUAGAAAGUGGUAAUGUAUAUCUAAUUUGUACCCCACAGAGCUUUUGUUCCUGUCAAUGCAAGCUUAAGGGAAAAGUGCUUCCCAAGCAAGAUAUGCUUCUACAAUAACAGAUGCAUAUGUUUUUUUUUGGUUUCUUUUGCAAGUGAAGUAUCUACUGUUGUACCUGGUGCUAGGAACAACCUCAACUACAAGGCAUUUUGGUGUAGGUCCCGUAACUAUAUAUUUUUUUCUAAUCUGUGCUCUUUGCAAGUAUGGAUUCUUUUGAUGUGAAUUAUUAACUAUGAUUUCGUAAAUUUAAUUGUCACGAAACACUUUGAAGGUGAUGAGACUACAGAUAUUGUUUAUUGUUAACGACUGAUAGUCAGUGAAGCUAUUAAUUUUAACAAAUUGUUGAAGAAUCAAAAUUUAAAGAGGAUGCCAAGAAGAAUAACAAUUGAAGAAAAAUUGAUCCCUCAUUCUGUGUGUUUUUCUCCUUUUUGUGUGUCAAAGUGGAACUCUAAUUGGAGCAUAUAAGCAUCUAAUUCUCCUUGCUAAAAGCAGAAUCACUGCACUAUUUAUGCAUAUGUUCUUCAUGGACUUGAGCAUUAGAAACCAAAAUAAUCAGGGAAGCUUCUACUCUGGCUUUUAAUGUAACCACACAAGGUAUAUUUGAUGGCCAUGAUUAGUCCUUGUACUUCUAGAAAUUAGCAAUUUAGUCCUCGAACUUUCAUGUAGACAAAUUAGCCUCUGAACUUACAAUUUCAGCAAUGACAGAUAAUAGAAAUUUUGGAUGGAAGAGAAAGAGACGAAUUUUUCGCCGAAUAUGCUUUGACACAUUACCAAUUGUAAAAUAGAUAAUCUCUCUCUCUCUCUCUCUCUCUCUCUCUCUCAAAGAAAAAAAAAAGGAAAAGAUUUCACAAAUUAUUAGAUCUUCUUGAGGUCAGGCAGUUGAUUCUUUCUUGCAUAACCAGAAUUGCAGGCUUCACCAAAGAAGCCUACAAUUCACAUGCUGUUAUUUAUAAGGUCUCAAGAGGUAUACCUUUAACUAAAUAUCCAAUUUUUCGUCGAAAGUUGGAGAUUCUAUUGCUCUAACACAAGGAUUCUGUUGGAAGAAUCAUAUUCUAUUUUAUCUCAUCCACCUAAUUUAGACAAAAGAGUCUUAAGCUUCUCAAAAGUUAAAGAUUCCUCUUUUGAAAAGCCUCAUCUACAUGGAAACAUCAUCAAAUUUCAACUUAAGUUCUCCUAAAUACUUAAAGAGCCAUAUCACGCAAGGUGUGGACCUUGAUGAAGUUAAUGGAGUGAAGAAAAAAAAAAAAAUAAUAAUAAUAAUAGUAAUAAUAAGAGAGGAUAAAUGCUAAAAACUAACCCAGGAAGCAAAACAUUAACUUGGGGGCUUAUGCUUUUUCUACAUGUAGAACAAAGAGAGGGUAUUGAUGUACAUGUCGACUGUUCAUUCUCUAUCUUAAAAUACAUAUGCUUCUCUCUUGCACAUCUCAAUGAUGUGCAUAAUUAGAAUGUGCUCUACUCCUCCUUAUCUAGGUUUUGCAUGAUAGGGAAAUGAGAAUAUUAGUUGUUUUCAACUUCCUUUUCAUUGCAAGGACUUUUACCAUGCUGUCCAACUCUAUAAAGCUCUUAAAUUUCAUGAUGCAGAGAAUCAAAUUUGACAAUCCAUUUGUCUAUCUCUCUCUCUCUCUCUCUCUUCAUCUCUCUCUCUCUCUCUCUCUCUCUCUCUCUCUCUCUCUCUCUCUCUCAUGGCUUCUUGUUGUGUUCCUGAUGUGUGGGGAUGGAUCAGAAGCCUCCCACCAAUCAACCAAUGGAAGACAAAUGCUCUCUCUAUUCAUAUUUGCACAUCUCACUUAACUAGCCAGUCUCUUGAUCUUUUAGUCACCAAAAACCUCCAAAAUCAAACCCCACAAAUUAGUUUCACCAUUUGUUUAGAUUUCAAUCUGCCCAUCUCUCUUUGGACUAGCAGUUCUUUCCAACCAAGUGAUAUGUAUGGCCUUGACGAAGAUACAAUUCGUCGAUUCUUCUUCGAUAUCGUCAAAGGGGUCCUCAAAUAUGGGCCUAAUAACAAGUUUCCUUAUAGAGAGCCAGAAAUACAAAUUUCUCAAGAUUUUUCUGAUAUCUUCAAUCUAGCAUUCACCACUCUUUCUCUACUAGUUUGCAUAUAUGAAGCUCCUCCGCACUUGCGUCGUGAAUUUAUCGACACAUUGAGGGUGCAGUUGGUGAGUUCCAGAUUGAGAGCGGCAUCGAAGCCAUUGAUGCGAUUUCUUGGGUCGAAUCUAGAGGAGCAAUGGAUGAGAUCGGUGAACCUUGGGAUCACCAAUUGGAUAAGAGAGCUCAAACCAUCGAGUAACGACUUCAUGCCGCCCUCCCCUUUGUUCUCGUAUGCACUAUCGGCGAGGAGGCUAUGGAAAGUUCAACUCUAUUGCCCCAUGGUAGCUCUGAGUGUUGAAUAUCCAAGUGGUAGUACUAAGGAGGAGAGGUUACAAUUCUCAUUGGACUACCAACAGUUUGAAAGUGUGUUUCAAUUCUCAUACAAAGUGAUCUUCAAGGAGAAUUGGAUUGAUGUCAUGGUGAACGUCGAUAACAUACGGUAUGUAAAGCUAGUUUUCUUCUUUAUCUUCACAUUUAGUGGAUGUAUGAAAUGUAAUGAAGUUCANAAAAAAAAAAAAAACAUGUGAGAAGUCGAUAUAUAUCUCUAAAAGCAUAAGCUAUUAUAGAAAUUGGUUAUUUUAGAAAAAUUUGGUUGUAAGGCACCUUGUUUCUCAUAGUUUAUCUAUUGAUGAUUAUAACCAGGUGUGAUGUGAUUCCCCUGAUUUCGGAAACCCUGAUGUCGAAGCAAGGCUAUGGAUCAGAGGAAAAGCACUUCCCUUCCCGCAUUUCAUUGCAGCUCACUCCGACCCUCCAAUCCGACAUAAUAUCUGUUUCAGUAAGCAAAUCUACCGACAACCCGAUCCAUGAAGUCGGCCUUGAGAAGGGCCUUGAGACAUCAUUCGAUGCACCGGCCUCUCUCGGCAUCACCAUUUCCGCCACCGAGACACACACAAUGAGCUUAAAGCCAUGGAAAUUCGAGCAGUCGGUUUACGGAGAUAGUGCGAUUUUGAAUUGGUUUCUUCAUGACGGUACUAAUGGACAAGAGGUGUUUUCUUGUAAACCACCAAAGUUAGCCUUAUGCAAGCCCAGAUCAUGGUUUAGAAAUAGGUACACAAGUGCUUAUAGGCCAUUCACAAGGCAAGGAGGGGUUAUAUUUGCUGGGGAUGAGUAUGGGGAGAGAGUGUGUUGGAAAGUUAGUGAAGGAGCUUUGGGGAAGACAAUGGAGUGGGAGAUUAAAGGAAAGAUUUGGUUGACCUAUUGGCCCAACAAGCACAAAACAUUUUAUAGUGAAACUAGGAGGUUGGAGUUCAGGGAGUUGGUUUAUCUUACCAUAGAAAAAUAGACUAGAACUUUGCUUAGUAAGCUAUAUUUGUAUGAAGCUAUGUAUAUCAUACCAGGGAAGUGAUGACUUGUAGAUUACUGCCAAUAAAUAUAUAUAUAUACUGGGAAUCAUGUAGUUGUAAUGUAUGAAUCAAUCUUUCCCAGUGAGAAUAUAUAGUUUUUAUUAUCUUUCAGUAGACUUUAAGAUUCUUUGUCAAACUUUUUGUUAAAUAAUUAAGCUCGGAUAAUGCAAAUAUCCGGCAUAUGCUUUUGCAAUCUAAAUUGAAGUCACAUAGCACGUUUUCGUCAGUUCGAUAAGCAUAUUGACUUUGUCAGCUAUAGUAGUUAAAGACCAAGUGCAUACACAGAAAGUAAGAGCAGAUCCUCCUUACAGAAAGAAGAACACUAGUAGGAUGCUUGAAUCAAUUUACAGCGAAAAAGCAGCCUAAAUUUCUGCUUCAGAAUUCGGACAUUGGUAUGCAUCAGAAUUUAGAAUCAUUCUUCUCUACAAGAAUAUGACUAUAAGUACAUCGGCCUAUUUGCAUUCAUUGUUAAGUUAAUGCACAAUUUUGUCUCCCUCAAUGAAAACAAAAGGAGAGCUUACUGGGAAUCCAGAAUAGUGCUGUGUGUGGAAGAAAAGAGUGUAAGAUGACGGUUGCUAGUUAUUUUCGACAACUCACCCAGUUGUUUAGCUUCAGUGCCUGUUGUAAGUACCAAAGGCUAUUACUUCAACUUUUGCUUCUCCAUUUGCUUUAUUUGGAGCUUCUGCUUGUGGAUUCUGUCCUCCUCCUGUUGUCCUCCAUCUAUUCAUUCAAAACGUUGUGAGACUCAUGCGGUAAUCUUAUGCGCUCGUUACUUCUUUUAUCAUCUUUAAUCUGUCUCAGACCAGAGCACCUUCCAAGGUCCACUUUUUGUUCCUAACCUGGAAAUUACAAACAACAAAUCCAUAAAAUUGAAACCCAAGUUUGGUAAAUUGUGAUUAGGUUUUAUUUACCUCCAAAAUCCCGCGAUUGAUCGCAAGCUCAUGAAAAGAACCAGUCCAGUCCAAACCCCAGGUAGGCCGAAAGCAGGAGCAGCGAGCAAUAAGAACACCGAUGAGACCAUCCCCACAAAGAACUAUGAAAAAUUUAUAUAUAGAUGGAGAGAGAGAGAGAGAGAGAGAGAGAGAGAGAGUUAAGAAAUUUCUUUAUGAAGAAAGCAGGAAAGCAAACUAAGGCCUCUUUGGCCUGACUGGAACUUGCUAAAAUUGCCUUUUGAGUAGAGAUUUUGUAGUACUCAUAAGUAGCAACUUUUACAUGAAAGUUCCCCUAACACCUUCUCGCUAGAGUGAAAGCAAAAGUUUCAAAUUAGAACCACCACAUUUCGAGCGUACAAACUCAUUUCAACUUUCUGUCACAAAAAAAACACCAUUUUCUUUUUCGUUUUCUCCUUUUUAUGUUUGCUAAAAACCUGGCUGCUGAUUUUCAGGGGAGAGAUGUUAUUCCAGAGGUUAAGCCAAAGAGCGCUAAAGCAUGAAGAGUGAGAGAAGGAAUAAAUAUCCAGACCAUAGAAUAAGCAGCAUAUGCAAAAUCCGAGACACCAUAAUAUAGCCCGUCGAUCACAAAAGCAAUUGCAUUGAUCGGCUGAGAAAUAGUGACAAACUGCACAAAAAAAAAAAAAAAGAACUCUCAACUCAUAAGAAUAGAUAAUUCUACAUCAGCAGCAUUUUUUACAGGGCGGCCUCAUAUUGUUAGGUUUUAGCAUUACCCACACUCCAGAUCGAGCAAUGGCAAGAACUUCUGGAUCGCUGGUGAAUAUGAACGAAAAGGUCCCAAAUCCAAAGAACAAGAUGACAGCCAAUGUAACUCCAGCUAUUGCUCCAAUCUGCUUGUAUUUAGGUAAAAAAUGAGAAUCGUAUUUACACUUCACUCAACAAGGAUGGAAUAACUAAAAAAAUUGAUGCUGAAGUGCUUUUAACCUGUAAGACCCUGCAGACAAUAAGACGGGCUUGUCCGUAAUUCUUCUUAGUGUAUUCACUUGCAAGCAAAGCCUGUGAAACAAUGUGUAUGAGGUUUCUUUAAAUAGAUACACAAAUGGGGCCGUUUGAUAUAUAUAAAAAUUUUCCCGUUGAUUAAUAUCCUGUUUGGCCUAGUUGGAGUUUCUGUAGAAAAUGGUUUAUUAAGUAGGGCUGUGAAAAGAACAUUAAUGGCUUUUUUAUCAAAUACACCCAACUACUUCCAUCUUAAGCUAGAAGCAGAAGAUUCAGAUCAGAGCAUCCACUUUUUGUUUGCUAAACUCGUAGCUUACACUUCUCACUUUUUGUUUGCUAAACUCCUAGCUUACACUUCUCAAGUAGAGAAUCUGUUCUAGAAGUUGGACCAAAAGGACACAAAAAUGCUAAACCUUGCGACUAACGAACCUGACCAGCUAGGGCUAGGGCAUCAUUGAGGAGGGACACAGCUAACCACACUUGCAGGCAUAUUUGGUGUCCAGCCAUAGGAACAGGACCUUCCCUUGCAGCCAUAGAAGUUGCAAGUGUCAUAGUUAGGAGAACUGCAACUGUUCUUCCAAUUAAAAGAGCACCUACAAAAGAAUGGAAUUAAAAUGAUUCCUAUAUAGUCAAUCAAGUUGAUGACUGAUUGAUAUAGACUCUAUAGAGUAUUUAACUUCAGUGGAUUUUGUCUAAUAAACCGGUGUAUGUCAGUAUGUUAAAGCAAUUAUGGGCCUGUUUUGCCCAGCUGGAGUUUCUGGAAUGAGACCUGUUCAGACAUAAAAUGCCAUGCAAAAAAACAAUAUGGUGAGCUGCGUGAUCAUAAACAUCAUGCAAAGUCAGUGUGCUGAAGAUGCUCUACGAGACUCCUUUUGAGUAGAAGGUGUUUUAAAAGUCAGGCUAGAUAGGCAUAGUUUCUCAUGAACUUCUCUCACCUUCAAGAUGAAGAAAUGUCCGUAGAACCUUCCAUUGAUGGAAUGUGCUCUCUUAGCUACAGGCCAAAAGAACUCGCAGGUUCAUUAAACUCGUCCUUGUUAGAACGUCAACAGCUGGGAGAACUUUAACCCUACCACAACUCUCAAAUUAUGAUACUAAGUUUCCUAUUAAAUCUGAAUUUGCUUAUUCAAAAAUUUAGGGGAAUAGUUGGUCGGCCAAAAAUUUCUAAAAUAUGCGUAUAUUUAAUCUCAAUUUAAAUUAUAAAAGAAAAUCACCGUACCAGAUUUUAAGUAGCGUAUGAUUCCAUUAUUGAUAAUAUUUGGAGAAAUGAGUAUCACCUUCCUAUUCAGCUUCCACAGGAGGAUAAAGGCUAUCAGAUACCUAGUAACAUUGAAUGAUAGUAUAAAGUGAAGAGCAUGAGAUAAUUACGUUCGAAAUAUAUGAUAGACUUGAAGAAGAACUCAAUGAAGCAUCAAAUGAGGAAAGUACAUUUUAUUUAUAACAAUUUCAUGAUGAUGGCUUUAACAUACUCAGAGAUCACUGUGGCUAUGGCAGCACCACUAACGCCUAGCCCAAGAAUAAAUAUCAAAAUUGGAUCCAGUAUUGCAUUUAAUAGGUUGCCAACACCUGCAAAGUGUAAACAGCAUACUGUCAUACAUGUAGACUAUUGAAUAGGGAUAUUUUUGCAAAAGCUCAGUACUAGAUAGAUAUCAUGGAGACAGGUUCCCAAUAAAAGGAUGCUUUGAUCCUUUUCUGUAAAAUGAUUCACCAUUUCAGUUUAUACAAAGCGGAGUUAAAUUGGUCAUUUUACAGGAAAAGAGUUAGACACACACUUAAUAGAGGUCAGGUAUUUUAGAUGACAAACAGGAUCAAUAUUGCAAAAUUGAGGGAUUAUUCAUGCAUUUCACCCAUUAAAGUACAAAUAAACAAUACUUUAAGGUUGCAGAAAAGAUAAAAGGAGGUAAGGUCAAAACUCAAAGUUCACUUACCCACAGCAUAUAGUGGUGUCUUUGUAUCCAUGAAUCCACGAAAUGUGCCUUGAGCUGCAAGUGCAAUUACAAUUGGUGGAGCACCAUAUGCCCUCAAUGAAAGAAAUUGCUCAGCUGGUGUCCGCAUUGGUGAAUCCUGUUUAGACCAUAACGGUGGUGUCAUCUGAUAGGAAAGAGAUAUUUAUAAAAAAGGUCAUAUGGUAAUAUAACCCAAUUAAAUUUAGUGUGGAAUAUCAACACUGGCUUGAAUAACCAGAAAUUAAAGAUAAACCAUCAUCAAUCUAAGGUCUAUUUCCCUAAACUAUUAGUUCCAUUAGGAACAAUUAUACAACUGUGCGCAUUGUCUGUUUCUCCAGUAGUUAUGCUAAUUUAUUAAUUAUGCGAAUACAGUUUGAGCAAAAAAUUUGCCUACAGACUAUAUUAUACUCCUAAGAAAAGUUCAAAUCAAAUGAACCGAUGAAUACUAACUUUAGCCCCCUUGGACGUAAUCAGAGCUAAAAGAAGCACAUAACUUUCCAAUAUCAUGAAUAGACCUAGAUUUUGUAUUAUUAGUACAUCAUGACCAAUAAAAUAAACACCAAAUGACAAGAGGAAAUGAGAACAUAUGACUAGCUUAAUUUUAUUAGGGCCUUCAAUAUUCAAGUAAAAAAGAUUUGCUUAUUUUCACAUACAACGGGUAUACCCAUGAUAUUCAUUAGGGCACCUGAGCCCAAGGCCAAUGCAAUUGCUUCAAACAUUCCAAUACCAGCGGCCAAUGCCAAAGAAGUCGAAACUGUCGGAAGGAACUUCCUUCUUUCUCCAUCCACAAGGCGCACAGUUUUGUCCCCUAUAAACAAUAUUAACUCAAAUAAUCAGUUAUCAAACACAAAAAGGCGGACAAAGCCUCCAUCUCUCUUAUCUUUCGGCUCAUUAUGAAUUGUCAUCAUGUUAUGCGCAGUAAAGUUCUUAUCUGCCCUUCGCUGGGCAACGAAUGGUCCGCAAAUGGUAGCUAAAAAAUCAGGUACCGUACUUGAUAAGUUGGCAUUUCAGGGGAGUAAACAAACAUUUAACCAAAAUUUUGAAAUUUUCCCAUGCUUGUUUUACCUCCAUCAGCAUCACUAUUUGCAUUGCUAUCCAAUGCCUGCUGUUCAGCAACAAAAGAUGUAGUGACAUUAAGCAACGGAACAUUAAACAGCUUUGAAACCAAAUUGAACACCGAAACCGAAACCCCAACCGCAGCUAAUUCAACCGACCCUGUUAUAAAUUGAGGGAAAAAAAAAAGAAAAAGAGUAAAAUUUAAACAUAAUUAACAUAAUUUGGUAUAAAAAAGAACACAAAGCUAGCGCAAUUUAGCUUAACAAUUGAGACUUAAAUGCCAGAAAAUAAAGCAAAAUUCAAUAUUUAAAUACUAAAACAGCCCUUUGAAACAAAUGUAACAAGCCAAACUUCAAGUUAGGAAAUUAAGCACAAAAUUUAAACAUAUUGGCACAAUUCCAAAUCAAAAUAACACGUAAUUAACACAAUCAAGUUCAAAAAUCGACACUUGCUUCCAAAAAUAAAGCAAAAUUCAAUAUUUAAAUAAGAAAAACAACCCUUUGGAGUAGUAAACAAGACGAACUUCAGAUUAGGAAAUUAACCACAAUACAUCAAAUUCCCAUACCCAGAUGGCCGACGAAGGCGGUAUCCACCAACGACGCAAUCGGAUCAGCGGCGAGAGCUAACACGGCCGGGAGAGCAAUGCUCAGGAUCUCCAAUCCAAUCCCAUCCCCCUUAAUUCGAUCCAAAAAUCUCGAAAAUGGGCUCAGAAACGGUAAAUUAAUGGGUUUUGGGGAUCGAUUCUCCUUCGUUUUAAGGUUCUGUUGGGAUUUGGUGGGUCUAGGCUUUCGGAAGCAGAGGAAGCUUGGGUUUUGGGGCUUGAUGUAGGGGGAGAAGGGUGGGGUUAGGGUUAGGGUUAGGGUUUGGGAGUGGCGAGGGGCGGGGAGGAGGAGGCGGAGGGAGACGCUUCCCGCCAUGGCCGAGCAGGGUGGGAGAACUCUCUGAGCUCUGAUUGGUUGGUUUUUUUCCUUUUUUUUUAAAAAAAAUUAUCAAUGUUAUUUAAUAACCAUUGGCUUAUUAUCAUCGUUCUCUCUCUCUCUCUCUCUCUCUCUCUCUCUUAUCUUAGAGGAGCAUAAAUAAAUUAUUUCGAAGGAAAAUAUGUAAGAAUACCCCUUCAACUUUAUUUAUUUUUAAAAUAGACCAUUAAAUUCUAAAAUUUUUUAAUUACACCCCUUUAAACUAAAUUAACCUCUUGUUAGUUAUCAGAGUAAACUAUGGAUAGAAUCAACAUUUUUUUUAUUUAGCUUAAUACUAGUAAAGCUUUUAAAUUUAACAAAAUAGCUAUUAAGAUUAGUAGCAUAUUUUUUAGGACUUUUGAUUUGUUAAAUGUUUUGUUUAAUUAUUUUGCUUGUUUUAAAUGUUGGCAAACGAUCCCAAAGUGUCAUAAGUGAUAUGUAUUAGUCGUUUGGUUCCUUGGAAAACACUUCAGAAAAUUUAUUUUAGGCUGAAUUUUUUGUAUUUUUGUUUCACAGAAAAAAUAGGUUUUUUGAAAAAUUAUAUUUCAUAUUUCACAAAAAAAUUUUCUUUUCGUUUUCCCUUUUUUUAGAAAAACAAAAAAAAUUUUCUUACGAACGUUUGGAAAAGUAAAAAAGAAUUUUUUUAUAAUAUAUUCGUAUAUGUUUACUACACAACCAUUAUUUUCACCAUCUCUCACUGGCAUCUUUAUCUUCCUAAACUAUAUAUAUAUAGAGAGAGAGAGAGAGAGUUCGGUUACUAUACUAUUAUGAGUACGAUCGACGUCGUAUUCAUAAGUCGUUUUUAAUGAUAGAGCUUCCGUAUCGACGAUCCAUACCGUUAAAUAUUAUUUAAAGCAUUUAAAACUUCUAGAAAUCAAAUUUUAUAAUUUUUUGAUAUCAUUUAUCUUACGAUCAAAAGGUCACAAAAUUGAUAAUUUUUAAUGGUCGGUAUGGAAUACUUGCUAGUUUAAUGUUGUAAAAGAAUUAGAAUCGAUUGAAUUUUUUAUAGAAAAUUUUAUUCACUAUCUAGAUAAAGAUCAAUAACUCCGAUCUUAAAUUAAAGUAUCCGAUCAUCCAUUUUUUAUGUCGUUCGAUUUUGACCGUUCAUUUUAUGUUCGCUUGAUGUACUUUAUUAUGAUUUCAAAAAAUUACGAAAUUUAUUUUCUAGAAAUUUCAAAUACUCUAGAUCAUAUUUAACGAAAUGGAUUGUCGAUUUGAAAGCUCUAUUAUUGAAAACAACUUAUGAGUAUGAAAGGCUCUGUACUUAUAAAAAUAUAGUAGCCUUACUCUAUAUAUAUAUAUAUAUAUAGGCGGGAGCUAUUAUACACUUAUGAGUAUAGACUCCCUUGUACUGAUAAAAUUUUAACCGUUGAUUGAUGUGAUGUGUGAUUAGGAUGAUGGUGGUUCCUACUUAAAGUAAUAGUGGUCCCCUAGGGUUGAGUGGGUAGUUGGUUAAAUAAUAUGAUCUAACGGAUGAAAAUGAUUAAUGGAAUAAAUCUAAGGGCCGAAAAAUUUAUGAGUAUAAGAAAGUCAAUACUCAUAAAAGUAUAGUAGCCGGACUCUCUCUCUCUCUCUCUAUAGUAAAUUUUAUUUUAUUUAAUUAUUUAUUAUUAAUAUUGUAAAAAGUUUGUGAGUAUUUUGUUAAAUUUUAAAAUGUUGGUAAUCUCGCCUUCUUGUCUUAUAAAGCAUUUAUAUACCAAAAUUUUCAACUAACCAAAUAAGAAAAAUAAAAAUAAAAAAUUAUUUUUUAUUUUCCUUUUUUUUUUUACCAAUCAAACACCUAUAUAAAAAAUUAUUUUUCUUUUUUUGUGGAACCAAACAAUAGAAACCAUUUUUUCUGAAAUUUAUCAGAGUAAACUAUUUUUUUUCUUUCUUACCAACCAAGCUCAAAUUGUUUGUUAAACUUUUCUGUCUCUCUUACCAGCCAAGCUCAAGUUGUUUGUUAAACUUGAAAUUUAAACUUGAGCUUAAUUAAUUAUAUAUAUAGCUAAAGGUUGAUUUAUAUGGCAUGAAUCAAACAUAAAAACGCUAUCCAAUGGACAAGUAAAACAAUUAUACUUAAAAAUAAAAAUCGAGAUAGAAUGAGAGAUAGAAAAUAUAGAAAAGCGUUACAACCGUGAACCAUGAGUUACAUGCCUUCUCUUAUGUAGCAAGAAAAAUCCGUGAAACUCAGGAUGGAUAGCGCAUUAGACGAAUGGGAAUUAACCAUUCAAACUCAAAAUUUGAUGGUCGUUAAGUUCCGCUCUAUUUUUUAUCGUCUUUGGCGCUAUCCCUCCUGAGCUUUACAGAUCCUUCCAUACUUCUCUGUUCCAUGUUUCAAAGAGUACAUAUGUAUCAUAUUUAGAAAGAGAGAAACAAAGCUUUAGAAGAAAAGGAGGAGGAGGUUGAGUUAAUAGGUGCACAACUUUAGAAGCAGGAGAAAAGAGGAGGAUGAGAAAGGAUUGGAGCCAAGGUGGUGUAUUUAUAGGAGAGCAUGGUAAUGCAUGCAUGUGGAGAGCACGUGAGAAGGUCAUUGCACCAGUCACAUCUCUUUGACAUGGUAUGUAUAUAAUAUAUAUAUAUAUAUAUAUAUAUAUAUAGAGAGAGAGAGAGAGAGAGAGAGAGAGAGAGAGAGAGCACUCCUUUGUUUUAAAUUUAAAGAGACAACACUCUCCAAUUUUGUGCCACGAAGGGCACAAAGAUUAUUGGGUCUUCACAUUUUCAAAGCACAUAAUGUGAUUACCUAAAACCAUCAUGCAUGCCUUGGUUUGUGCAUUUUGCAACACUGCAAAGGUAAAAAGUUAAAAGUAUACAUAACUAAUCUGAAUUAUAACUUAAUUUAAAUUAAUUAUUUACAUUUUUUAAAAAUUUUUAAAUUUUACUAUUUAUUCUUUUAAUUUAUCUUAUUUGAGUCAAUUAAUCGAUGGUAUUUUGACUUUAAAAUUUAAACUAAUUACUUUCUUUAAUGAAUAUAUUAGUUGAAAAAAUUGUAUAAAGUAUACUAACUAAAUAUGUAAUGAUAAGCGCUGUAUUUAAAUUUUGAAAUGAAAGUGUCUUUAACUGACUGAAAAGUUCAAUUGUAAAUCAAAUUUUGAAAGAUUGAAUAGCCAACUCAAAAUGGUUUAUAUUUAAGAUAAAUUUGUGUACAUUUUUAUUCACUUUAAAUGUUAAAUGAGAAUUGAAUAUAAUGUUUUCUACCACUUAAGUUAUUAAAUUUAACGUAUUAUUUCUUGUCGAAUUGAAAAAUUCAUAAGAUACUAAAUUGAUACACUUUAAACCACAAGGUACUAAAGUGAAAAGGUGCGAAACCAUAGGGGUGGUACUUGAAGUUUAUCCUAAAUUUUACAUUUUUAUUAUUCAAAAGUUAUUAUUUUUUUAACACUUUUGUAUCAUUUGAUAUUUUUUAAUAUCAAAAUUUUGUUAAUUUUUUUUAAAAAUGCUUAAAUAAUAAAGCAUAAAAUUUGGGCAUAGGAUAUAUGUGAGUGUAAGAGUAAACAUUUGUGGGCUACGAUGUGUGUAUGGGCCUCGGAACUUGGACCUCGCCUCAUGGCUCAUGGCUCAUGGCUCAGUUGCCUCUCUCGUGUCUCACAACGCGUUGACUCUCCGUACUAAGAAAUUAUCAAAUGGACCCGGUCCACCACGUCAUAUUAAGGCGAUACGUGCAUCUAACCGAGCAUUUUGGUGGGCCUUUUUUUUUUUUUUUUCAGUUAUUUCUUAGAAGAAUAAAUUUUUUUGAAAAAUAUUGUUUCAAUAUGAAGUUGUUAUUAUAUUAGUUUGAACAGACUCUUUAUUAUUUGAUAUAUGUGAUACAAUAGAAUUGAUUUGGAGUAUAUAUUAUGCAAUAUAACUAUUACACGUUAAUACUAAUUGUGGGCCAUUUCUUAUAAAAUUUUUACUUUUUGGAUACCACACAACUAAUAUUAAACCUCCUCUCUUCGAAUAGUUAACAACAUUUUAUCAUCUCUUUUUUUUUCUUUUUAUUUUUUCUACUCGGUGCAUGUUGUAUAUGAUUCAGCUAUUAUUCAACAUGCAUAUCGAAAAAUAUUACACUUUCAAAUUUCAAGAAAAUGAUAUAGAAGCAAAUAGCUGUGGUCUACAGCUAUUAAUUACUCUACCUCCAUUCAUCCAUUCAUGCUGUGCAAAUGGAAAAGAUCUUCAAUGCAAUUAAUGGUCAUAAUAUAGUUCACAGUAAAAAUAAAAUAAAAUUGAAACUGCCUCAACUCCCAAAAAAACACAACCCCUUAAAUUUUAUCUCAUCACAAGAUUCAAGAAAGAUCAUGAUGUUCAUUGUCAUAGAUUAAUUUGUUUUUGUUACACAUACUUUCUCACUGUUUCUCCAUCAACCAAAUUGGUCCAAAUAACCACAAAAAAUGGAAAAAAAAAAAAAAAUUGAAACCCCAUCCUGGUACAUAUUAUUCAUCUCCUCUAUAACAACAAUGAGUGGUGCUGCACAAUGAAAACAUUUAGAAACAAUCAAGGAAAGAAGAGUUUAGCAUACAAAAGUUCGUUCCAGGUGUCCUGCAGACCGGGCAAGCACCAGUGCACGCAAUCGGCGUAGCUCCUGGGGUUCGCGAGCCGUUCGGGCGUCAGCGGUGUCCACUGCUUCUUGUAUAUCUGCGUGUGCGCGUCUUUGCGGUACUCUGAGAGCUGGGUUAUGUUAAGGAGAGUGAUCGGGACGUGCGCGGUGGCGAAUACCUUCUUAAUGACCUGCAUUAUACCUUUGUUCGAGCUGCCCCCCCAGUACGUCGGAUCCGUGAUCGGAGUUGUUUCGUUGUAGCAGUUCCCGUCAGGAUCGCCUCCCCAUUCUUGGCUCCUAACAAAUGAUUUUUUGUUUAAAUUUCAAAUAAAACAAUAGGCUUUUUGAUCUUAAGCUGAGAAUAUGAAUUGUAAGUUAAAAAUCAAAAAAAAUGUGUCAAUCAACAAACAAUAUCCAGUUUACAUCUCAUAUGCAGCAAAUGGCUUUUUCUCCCUGUAAAAUUUUAAGAACACAUAUAAUGCACAUAAUUUCCUGGCUUGUGCUUUUUUUGCUUUUGCAUUCAAGUAUAUGAUUUAUCUACAUGCUAAUUACCAAUUAAUGAACAUUAACUUGUUGGGAUGUGUUCUUAAAAUUCAGGUGUGACCCUGCACCUGCCAUUGGAAGGUGCAGGGUCAUAUUCAAGACUUUGUUGAGAUUGUAUCCGCAAUGCAUUGCAAGCCGAUGAAAAAUUACGACAAAAAAAAUUCUCAUUACAAAAUAAGUUUCAACAAAUCACACUAAUCGAACUAAUUCUUUUUUUGAUCAACUAUGGCGCAAAGCACUCAAUAUCAAACGGAUUCUUUGUUUGGUUUGAGAACCGUCUCUCCAUCUACUUACUCAACAAAUUAGGACCAGCUUUUUAUUGGGUCUACAUUGACAAGACCCCAAACCUAAAAGCAAAUUAAUCACUUCAUUUGUGGGCCAAAAAAUGCGACCAACCAACCAAAAUUGAAAGAAGAAGAACAACUCUACGGUGGUCUUCUAUGUUACGGUGACACCACGUUACUGUAUCUCAGUGUCUCAAGUCAAUAUAUUUUAUCUUUUGAGAAAGAAGUAUAACAAUUUCUUAAAAAAUUAAUGAUGAAUUUUUUUAAUAACUCUACAAGUCUACGUACCGUGUAUGAGUGGGAGACAUGGUGACGAAGAAAACCCUGGUCUUUUGUGGGUCCACGUUCUUGUCCACCCACCUCACCACCCUCCUCAGGGACAACCCAUACGCGUUCUCCGUCUCCAUCUCCGUAAUAUUCUUCAUGUCCCCUUCAAAAGAUCCUCUCCUGAAAAAAGCCAAAAAAAAUCAAACAAAAUUGUAACUUUAGUUUGACACUUCUUUCAUUCAUUAUAUUUGUCUCUUUUUUUUUCUUUUUUUUUUUUUCAGAAUGACUCACUAUUCCAGUUUUAUUUAUUUUCUGAGUAAAUCUCAAUUUACACUGUAUACUUUGUGGUUUAUUUUAUAAUUUUUUAAAAUCACAUGAUGGUAAAGCAAAUGCGCCAAAUAACAUGCAUUUAUUAGAAAUUUACCCAAAAGCUGUUUGGGGCAUUUUCACAAACAGAUGGUGGGCAAAAGAUAAUUGAACUUACAGGAUCUUCAUCCUGGAGCCGGUCAUCCACCAGAGGUAGGUGUUGAAGACGAGGAGGUCGACCCCUCGCCAAUGGCGGGCGUGCUUGUUGAUGGACCCGGCGCGCACGAUGCGGUCGCUGAUGCGGUGCACCACCGCGUCGUCCGAGUUCGACUCCACCAGGAACGGCGCCCAGUAAAACUCGAUCGACGCGUUGUACUCCUACACACAAACACACACAAACAAACAAACAAACUCCUCAAAUUUUUUGACAUGGAUGGUCCUCAAACUUUUGCUUAAUUACACUUAGUUCUCUAUUUUCGGAUCGCAGUCGCAGGUGAAAAUUUUCAAAUAAAAGUAUAUAUUAAUCGUUUGUCACAUAUAAUGCAUUAUUAACAACGCACUCUAGCUUUAAAAUCCGUGCAUUAGACGUGAUGAGUAGUUUAAUUAAAUUCUCUUCCUGAGGAGACUUUCGAAGUCUGCGAAAAAGACAAAGAUAUCAGUGCUGGACAUGGGCCGAUCCCACCCGUCCAUCCGUCAGCAGAAUGCACCGUGCCGUCCAUAUGAUGACAGAUUGAAUAGGCCAGAUGUGUCACGUCAUCAAAUGGACAAUGAGAUCACCAUGUGUGCAGAGAGAAAAAAAAAUUAUGUACGAGACUAUAAAAGGAUGUUAUUAGCUUAGGCACUAGAGCUACUCUAUGCUAGUUUGGCCGAGAAAUGUUGCUCGCACACUCCAGAGUAGAAUGUAAAUACUAUGUCCAAUUUCGUUUACUCUAUUUGGCAAAAAUAAUUUUCCAAUAUUGGUAACCGAUUAGACAAUUUAAUAGAUAAUCACUUUUAAAAAAAUAAACAAUCAUUAAUACCUUUGCUUUGAAGACGGUGAGAGAGCCGUUGGUCUCGAUGGAUUUGGCGUCCUCCGGGAUGAUCCGGUGGAGCAGGCACACCAUGGAAACGAACUGGCCGCGGUUGAGGGAAUCGCCGACGAACAUCAUGCGCUUGCCGCGCAGCUUCUCCAACAUGAAUGUCGCAUUGAAGCUGCAACAUUUUAGAGUUCCCUUAUGAUGUAAGAUCUCUUACAUCGCAUUCUUUCUUUUACUUAAUUGGAAGAACCAAAUAUUUAUUCGCUAAUAAAGGCGAGCAUUAUUCGGUACAAACUGAAUUAUCAAACUUAAUUGAAUCACUUUAUUUGAUUUGAUUUGGAUUUGGCCAUAAAUAAUGAUAAUUUAAAACAACAACACAGUGGUUGACCAAAUACAAGAUGAGGUUGGUGAUUUGAUCCUUUUCCACUACGGCGUUACCCCACCACCUCCGAAAAGGGCCAAAAAAAAAAAAAAAAUCCAAAUGCCCAAAAGAAUUGGGUGGUGUUGCAUUGGGGCCAAUUUGAGCGACCUUGUGUGAAUUGUGUGAUUUGACAACGGAAAGUGUUUGCAAAAUUAAUUGGAUCAUCACAUGGAAAAGUAACUUUGUGGUCGACCAUUUCAAGCACAAUUAUUAACGUCCACUUUACUUUCUCUCCUCUUUUUAAUAUUUGGAUUCAAUUUUUCUGCAGAGAAUAUUUUUUAGUUGAAGUUUAAAUUUUAAAUUUUAAAUUUUAAAUUUUUAAUGGUAAUGUAUGCUAAAAGUUAAUGCCAAUUCUAUGCUUUUCAUUUAUUUGUUUUUUGUUCCUUUGAACUUCUCUUCUUGACUUUUUCUCCAAAACCUGCCGACGUUGAGCUAACUUCCACCUAACUUUGACGAUCUCUUUUAAGUUAAAAAACAAUUAAUGCUCCGUUUAUUCAUUGGAAACUCCGCUCAAAUCGAUUAAUCGACAAAUUAGUUCAUUCCAAUAUUCCAAUGUCAAAAUUGUAGAAAUGAUUUUGCAGUACUAUGAGAGUACAUAGAUACCAUCUACUGUAAAAUUUACUCUCGAAGGAAAGAAAGUAUAAGCAUAAUAUUAACUGCACAAAUUUUAAAAUUUAGAAAGAGAGCAAUAUAGACAGAGUAGCUGCACGAAUUUUAAAAUAGUGAUGAAACUAACCUGGGGAGUGAGCAGCCGUGCGGCUGCCACCGCCAGUGCUGGUAUCGCCGCUCGGGGCGGCCGUGCUCUUGGCACGUCAGCUGCGGCUGGAUGUACGGACACUCCUCCUCCUGGUACAACGGCCGCGCCGCCUCGUCAUACACCCACUUCCCCUCGAAGACAUUGCAAACCCCCUUGACCUCAUGAUCAUCCUUCUCUAAUCCAAAACGCACCAUAGUUAUUAUUAUUAUUAUGGAGCUUUUGCUUAUUUAUCUCUUAUCAAGAUACUCUUCUAAAAUCUAGUCCCAUUAGUAAAUCAUUAGAAAAUUAGAAAUAUUUGAAGAGAUUUUUCAAAAUUAAUGAGGGUAUUUUGAUCCUCUACAAAUAAAAUAUUUUUGAAAUUUUAAAGGACAUAUUAGAUACUAUCCCUAUUAUUAUUAUUAUUAUUAUUAUUAUUAUUAUUAUCGUAAACACAAAAACGAUUUGUUUAGAAAAUGAAAACAAAAAAAGUACUGUUUUAAUUGAAUCCAUGAUAUUUUUGCACAGCAGGAACGGUCCAAACCAUUCAUUUUCCACGUUGAAUCAACAAUAAACUCGACUACAGCGCAUCACAAAAAAAAUUCGUGAAAUUUGGUUGCAGUACAAAAUUCUCUCUACAACUGAACAAAUUCUUGAUUUUUUUUUUUAGGGGCAACUUACAUAUAUACUUCAUGAUAUUUUUUUAGGAGAAAUUAAGAGAGAGGACGCAACCUGCUGCUGCUGCUGCUGCUGCUGCUGCUGCUGCUGCUGAUGAUGAGGCGACGGCACCGAUGACGAGAGGUGGUCGGAACGGAAGGGGAGGCGGAGGAUGCAGCUCAGAUCCUCGCCGUAGAGGAAUGCGACGAAUAAGAUGAAUGAUACUGUGAUGAGAUAUGAAGAUAUAUGCCUCUUAUUUCUCUGUGAGAGGAGAGGAGGCUUCAUUGGCCUAGCUCUUUAAUUCCCUCUUUCUUCCAAGCCAGAUCAAAUUAGCACUUAUUAUGCCCCCACCCUCUCUCUCUCUCUCUCUCUCUCUCUCACUCUCUUUUGUGAGAGAGCUGAUAAGGUGUUGUGUUUGUUAAAGGGAUCCAAGUAUUAUAGUGGAUUAGAGAGAGAGAGAGAGAGAGAGGGAGGGAUUUGGGGGAAAGGGGAGGAGGGGGUGGGGGCGGAUGCAGCUAAAAUGGAAGCUAGGAAAUCAUGAGUUCAUGACAUGUGGGAGCAAGUGUCCACUAUCAAUGGAUAGGCACCAGAGAAAAAAUGCAUGCCCCAUUAAGAAAAAAGUUAUUGUAUACCUUGAAAAGCAUGUAUAUCGUACACCCCACUUAUUCUAAGAACAUGUUUUGCUAAUCACACUGACGUGGCUAAUUAAAAAUAUCUUCAUUUUAGGGUGAAUGAGAUAUACAUUGUACGUUCAUUUGCUCCCUUGUUAUGUUGCUAGAGCCUUUUUAAAAAUUAUCUAAUCAUGUUUUUUUUUUUUUUUAAGAGAUAGAUAGCACGCUAUCCGUUUCGUUUAUUUCAUUUAGAAAUAAACUUAGCUGAAAAUAUGAAUUAACUAUGAUUCGAACUUGGGUCUCGAAUAUCAACUACCAAAUCCUUUGCAACUUGCUCUAGAGACGGUCGGUUAAUCAUUUUUUUAUUUUUUACAAUUGUAUGAUCCAUCUAUCGUCCUUUUUUAUGAUUUUAAACUAAUUAAAAUAAACUAUAUAGGAGAAAAAAAACCUCCCAACUUAAAUUAAUUAGCAAAAAUUUUGCAGUAACAAGAGUGCGAAAUAUUUCGGUUUAUAAAUAAAUUCUUCAAUUUGAAAAAUUUACAAACAAUAACAAUAGAGAAUUUAAUUAUUAGGAAGGAGAAGUCUUAUUAAGGUGAGGUCAACAAAAGUCAUCCAACAAAUAUCAUUUUAUUGUUCAGAAUUAUUUAAUAAAGAAGCCACAUUAUCUGACUAAGUUAGUCAUUACUCCCUCUAACUCUUUUUGGUUUAUUAUGUUUUUCUUUUUUGAAAAAUAGUUCCUUGGCUCGCAAAACCCGUCAUUACUGACUCGUCCAAUCAAGGAUUAGGAUAAUUAUUGAUAUCAGAGCACAAUUGAGUUUGAUUUUUAUUUACUGACUAGAUUUAAACAGAUUUUAGUGUAAAUAACUUUAUUAAUUUUAUUUCCACUGCAUAAACGUACAACACUAUUAAUCGCUCUGUCAUUUCACUUCCAUAUUGGUACAUUUGUUGGAUAUUUAUGUUUGGUGAGUUGCAUAACAUACAAAAAGAAAAAAAAAAAAAAUAGAGGAGUUAGAGAAAAGGUACAAGUUUGGUGAGAAGUGAUAAAAAAGGUUGAUGGAUUUGGUGGGUAUAUCAAUGUCAAUAGCUUGGAAUAGAGACACAUGCAUGUGACUUGGUGAAAAGGUAACACACCCCUCCCAUUACUAUUUACAUCAUUAUUUUUUUUUUUAAAAAAAAUUACACACUAUAUAUGUUUCAUUUAUUAUGUAAAUAAGUUUAACUGUAUAAAAUGAGACAGCUAAAAUUUAAAAUAUAUAAAAAAAUUUAAAAAAAUUUUAAAAAAACUAGAAUUAAAGUAGAAAAAAGCGUCAAAACAAAAAGUAUAGAUAACUGUCAAUCUUCUCCCGCUCUAUAAAAAUCGACCUACCCCUUUACCAAUAUUUCAAUAUGAUAAGUAGUUGAAAUAAUGUUAAUAGAUAAAUUUUUAAAAAUAAUAUUAUUAUUUUUUGCAUGCGAGAUUACACCAUCAUCAUCAUCAUCAUCAUCAUUAUUAUUAUUAUUAGCCUUUUGUGAGUGAACUAGUGAAGUGCUUCUACUUUACUAUAACAACUCAAACAAGAGAAAAUCCACUUCCAAGGCACGCCUCCGAGUAGCAGUUGUUCUCGCCAGGUCAGGUUGGGACGGGUCAUGCUCAAAAUCAAUUUGGACCAGCCCUGAUCUUAGGAGGUUCGAAUUUUUCGGAUCAGACCCAAUUACUCACACGUAAAGUUGCUUUUAUUUCUACUUUUAUAGCUAGCAAAUAUGGAUUCUACUUUUAAUGCUUUUUAUUAUUAUUCUGUUGUUGAAAAAAAGCCUCAUUAGAAAAUUUUCACUAUAUAUAGGCUCUUUAGUAUAGGAUUAAUUUUUCUCGUUGUACUAUUCAAUUCAGACGACCAAAAAAAAAAAAAAAAAAAAAAAAAAAAACAACUGCAGGUACUAAUAUCUCCUCAGAAAAGAAUUUCAAGUGAAAAAUGUUAUAAUCCUAUUCUGUUUUUUGUUGAAACAAAAAUAUUAUGAGCAAAGGUGAAAGCAAAAUAUUAUUGUAAUGUUCGCGACAAUUCGGGCGGAUUUAUGUAUAUGCAUAUGUAUAUAUAUCGCUUCAAGCCCAUUUUGCAAGGAGAGACAUCAAACCAGCCCCUGUGAGCAGGCAUACGUUGAUCAGAAGCUGCAGCUUCCCUUUGCUCUGCACCCUGGGGUUCAUGAAAUCCUCGGCGAGGAGGUCGACGAGCGACAUGUAAAUCAGAAUUCCGGCGGCAACGGAGUUCAAAAGGCCCUCGACCAUUAGGGCGGUCGGGCUGUUCUCGUUGUAGACCGACGAUAUGCCGAUGCCGAUCGCGAUCCCGCCGGGGGUGGUGAGAGAGAAGAAGAGCACCAUUGUGAUGAUGGACUUGAGUUUGAACUUAGCCUGCAAUCAAAGAACAAAAAAAAUGUCAAAAUUUUAAUUUUUAUUAGAGACUUUCACAAGUGUAAAUGGGCCAACAUGGGGUGGUCAACUAACCUAGACUCACACCCAAUGAACCCAAGCUUAAGGUUUUGGACUUUAACCAGAGCCCAAUUGUGAAAUGGGUCAUUAUUUGUAGUUUGCGGGGGGGGGCGGUUUGAACACGUAUGUAACACAUCAAACUUAUUUUUAGAAAUCGUAAUUACUGAUGCAUUUAAUGAAUUUUAUUUAAGAGAUUUAAAUACAUAAGAGAAAGGAAUAUAUAUAUAAAAUUGGGCUGAAAUACUAUUAAUAGUAUUUGGCCUUUUUUAUUUUCGGUUAGGAUGAUAGUAGUUUUCUAGAAUUUAGUAGUGGUCUCUUAGGGUUGAGUGGAUAGUUAGUUGAAUAUUAUGAUACAAAGAAUGAAAUUGAUCAACAUGCAGAUAUAAAGGAUCAAUAGUAAAAAAGCUUAAAUACUAUUAAUAAUAUUCCAGCUCAACUCAUAUUAAUAUAUAUAUAUAGAGAGAGAGAGAGUUGAGUUGGAAUGCUAACGGGCUCUAUUACCGUCCAUUUGUUUUCAAUGCUGGAACCUCCAAAUCGACGAUCGGCACCGUUAAACAUAAUCUAUACCACUUGAAGUACUUCGAAAUUAAAUUUUAAAUCUUUUCGACAUUAUUGGCCUAAUGAUCAAAUAGCUUCAAAAUUUAUAAUUUUAAUGAUCCAUAUAAGACAUUUUCUUGUUUAAUGGCAUAAAGAUAUCGAAAUCAAUUGAAUUUUGAUUGAAAAAUUAUUUAAACUAUUUAGAAGAAAAUCUAUACUCUUGAUCUAAACCAUAAGAUUCCUAUCCAUCAUAUUUUAAAAAAUAUUUAUUUUCAGCCAUUCAUUUUUGUGUCUAUUUGAUGGACAAGAGAACAAUAUAAAAAAGACAUAAAAUUUGAUUUCUAGAUCCUUCAGAUGGCAAAGAUUAUGUUCAAUGAUGCCAAUCGUCGAUUUGGAGGCUCUAUCAUCAAAAAUAAAUGAGUGACAACGAAAUCCAUUUGCUACCGAUAGUAUUUUAGCUCAACUCUAUAUAUGUAUAUAUACCUGAACAAUGCAGCCUCCAAGGCCCAUCCCUUCAAAAAAUUGGUGAAAGCUCAACGCAGCAACGAGUGGUCUGAUGGUGGAGGGGCUGUCGGAUGCACCCAAAGAGAUCCCAAUUAUCACCGAGUGAACUAUAAUACCCAAUUCCAAUACCUGUAAUAAAUAACCACAUUAUUACAAAAACAAAUUCACAAAAUAAUAAUAAUAAUAAUAAUAAUGAAAAAUCUACAAUUAAAAGUAGGCAAGGCUUCGUUUUGAAUUGUGGGGAGAUUGCGUUACUUGCGGUGACUAGUGAGAAAGUACGAUGGAAAAAUAUCAUGUUUGUUUCCGCACGUAAUAUUGCGUUCCGUAUAUUACUAUGAAUCGGUUAUGAUAUAUUUUCUGCGGUCCUAUCGGAGAACGCAGAAGGAUAUCCCCUUUUUUUUUUUUCGUAACUCCAUUUUAUCUAAAAGAGUCAGAUAAACCUCAAAUACUAAACUAACCCUAAAAUGUUUAGAGACUCACAGCUUAUGGGCCAUUCUGAUAUAGCCUCCUCAACUUUCAGUUUUUUUUUUUUUUUUUUUUUUUUUUAACACUCAAUUCAUUUUACUUAAUGAAUGAAACAGGUAGCUCGCUACCUAUUUCUCAAAAAAAACUUUCAGUUUUUUGAUUAAGAACUCUUUUUCAGGAAUUAAGUGACUUUAGCCCAAAAAUUUAGAAAUCUUAUAAAAUUUAAUAACUCAAGCAAAUGAAGCAGUAAUUAAUAAUUUAAUUUAAAUUAUUAAAUUUGAUAGAGUUUUUAAUUAAACUAAGUAUAGGAUUCAAAUAAAAAAAAAAUUGUUGCUAAGGUCUUAUUCAAAAGAAAAAAAAAAAUUUGAGCGGGUUGGAGGGGCCUCCAUACAUUUUUAACUCAAAAUACGGUAAAAAAAACUAAAAUUUUAUUAAGAUAUUAUUAGGCAGUGUUAAAUCCAAAAUUUUAUUUAUUGAAAUUUGAAUACACGGUGUGAUAUUUUAUUAUUUUCAGUAGGAUGCUGGAUUGUAGUUAGAACAAUUGGUAGAAUAACUUACUCUCCUAACAAAUUACGUAACUGGGAAACUACUAAAAAUUAGUUCCAUAAAUCGCUCAAUUAUAGUUAGAGUAGAGUUAUUCUCCCGAGAAGUUCAUUACACCAGCAUGGCCAAAAUAACAGGAGCGAUUAUGUUUAGUUAAUAAUUUCAUGUGUAAAAAUUUCUCUACAGGACAAUUUUAAUUAUUUUGUGACUAAGAGGACGUUUAGAUUGGCGAAUCUUUAUAUCCAAUGUAACUCAAGUGUAAUUAUAUUGGAGUUUUUCUAAAGUAUAAUUAUUUUUUCAUUAUUUCUUUUAAUGUAACUUAUAAAUUCUGAAAAUUAAAUUGAAGCACUUUUUUAUUUAUUUUGGUAUGCUAGUAUGACUAAUUUUUAAGUUUUGUUGCUUAUUUUGACUUAAAUAAGUAAAUCCUCUUACCUCCUAAAUAUAAUGUUUACCCCCAUAAUAUCCAAUAUAUUAAAUAAUUAAAUUCUCCAUUAUUAUUUAAAAGUAAUCCUAACCAAUUGUAAAGAAGGUAAUUCUAGCACAUUAUAAAAAAAGUAAAAUUGAAGUUUUAAUAUUUAAUUAAUUUUUUUUAGAGAAGGUUGAGUGUGAUGAAACUUGAGUUUGACACUGUAGAAGGAAAAGUCAAGAAUAUGUAAAGUGGAGUUCUAGCGUAAUUUGAGUUAUAUUAGUUUUUUAACUUACGCCAAAACAAAUAUCGAAAGUUAUGGAAAUUGAAUUUCAUUCCCCACUUACUCUAUGGGCAUGUUUGGUUGCCAGAAAUUCGUCGAAAUGAAAAAAAUCAUUUUUUUUUGCAAAAGUGAUUUUUAUAAAAGUAACUUUUAAAUUCGAUUGUUUGAUUGAUUAUAAAGUUUAACAUGAAUACUAUAGUUUUAUAAUUUUUGGAUUUUUUAAUUAUAUAUAACGAGGUAAAAAUAUAAAAAACAAUUUAUACUUGCAAUUUAAAUUAAAAAGUUUAAUAUAUAUUUAUUUUUUGAAUUAAAAAUUAUGUCUUAAAAUUUAAAACUAAACUUAAAUCUAAGUUGAACUUAUAAUUAAAAUAUAAGACACAAAUUAAAUUUACAAUUUGAACUCCAAAUUUAAGUUAUAAAACUCAUAAUUGAAAUUAAAUUUUAAAAUAAAAGUUCAACACAGAAAUUAAAAUAUUUAUUCAAAUUUGAAUUCAUAAUUUGAAUCGUACUUUAAUUUACACUUUGAUCUUAAAUUGUGACUUCAAAUAUGGUUGCACAAUUUGAAUUAAUAAUUUAAAUUUAAAUCACAAUUUCAAUUGAACAUUUGAAUUCAUAAUUCUAAUUCGAAGUUCAAACUGAAACUCAUUAUUGAAAUUAAAUGUAAAUAGCAAAUUUGAAUUCCAACUUAAAAUUUAAAUUUCAGUCAAUAAUUUGAAUUUAUAGUUAGAAAAGUUUGAAUUCAAAGUUCAAAUUGAAGUUUUUAGCUAAAAGUAAAUUGAUAAAAAUUUAAAUUUAAAUUUAAAUUUUAAAGUUCAAUUUUAAAUAAAAAAUAAAUUUGAAAUUUAAAUAUAAAGUCACAAAUUUGAAUUUAAGAAUUUUACAUUGAAUUUGAAUUUAUAAAUAAAAUUCAAAAUAUGAUAACGAUAUUAAUUCAAAUUUAAGGUGAAAUUUAAAUUUAUAAAAUAAAUUUAAAGAUUAAAGUGAAGAUCAAAUAUAAUCUUUUAUAUAACCUCUUAAAUAAACUCUCCACUCGGUCUAUAUCAGCUUUUCUAUAUGAAUGCAUCUAAAGAUAUUCGCUUUCUAUAUUCGUGCAGAAAGAUGAAUAGGUACACUUAACUUAAUUCUACCUAUUUGAUUCCUUUGAGCUUCAUAUUCGAAGUUGCGAUCACUUGAUAAAUGACACUGUAAAAUUAUAAAACUUAAUUUUUAAAUAAUUUUAAUAACGUAAUUUAUAUUUAACGAAAUCGAUUUGCCAAAUCAAAUAUUAUAUUGUCAAAAAUAAAUUAUAAAUAAUGAGGCGGCAUCAGUGAUUUGGAAAGCGAAAAGAGUAGACAAAUAAGCACUAACGCACCUGAGAGAUGACGCGGUGGCGAAUGAGUUGAUCCGCUGCGUCGCCGUCGCCGUCGCCGUCGCCGGCGGCGGGCACGGCGUGGCCGUGGGCGUGGCCGUGGGUGGCGUGGGUGUGGACGUGCAGGUAAUCGCCGCGGUCGGCGCCGUCUGCCGUCUCCGCCGCCUCCAAAUAGCGCACCUUCGCCGCCUCGUCCCCGACCGCCCCCGCCGGCGCCGGCGCCGCCGCCGCCUUCUUCCUGGAGUGCAUCCGAUUGAAGUAGCCGGUGGCGAUGGUGUCGACCAUCAGGGUGGCGAUCGCCCCGACCAUGGCGCCGAACCCGGCGAAGGGAAACUUCUGCCAGACGCUGUCGUCGCCGCCGAGGCAGUCGGAGGUGAGGUCGUCGAACGCGUCCGGGAGGAUGUGGAUGAAGCCGGUCGCGAGGAUGACGCCGGCGGCGAAGGCCUUGAUCGCGAAGAACACGUCGCGGUCGGGGCGGAGCGCGGGGACGGUGCGGCUGAGGUGCGGCAGGCAGCAGCCGAUGGCGCCGCAGACGAGGAUGGAGACGAAGGCCGCGAUCUUCAGCGGCAGCGCGCGGGACCUGUCGCGGUCGCCGUCGCCGGCGCUGCAAUCGUCGUCGCCCGCAGCGAGGGGGAUGAGAGAGAGGGCGAAGAGGAAGAAGAAGAAGCGGAGAAUUCUCAUUGUUUAAUUUGUCGUAAUACUACUAAUACUAGUAAUACUAGUAGUAGUAGUAGUAGUAGUAUCGUUAAUAGUGGGGGAGAGAAAAUAUAAGAGGGUAUGUGUUAUAGGGUAUAAUAUAUAUAUAUAUAAUAAUAACAAGGAAGGAAGGGUUGUGUUAGUAUGACGACAUAUAUAGGAGAGUAACAUAGAUAUCUCCGAAUUGAUAGGUUUUGUUAACCGCAGAUUUUUUUUUUUUUUCUUUUUUUUUUUUGGGUGUUAUUUAGGGAGGUAAAAAAAGUAAGAUAGGUUUCUUUUAAAAAAGUCUCACUUACUGAGUGGGGUUGGAAAAGAAGGAAGAUGUGACGAUACGGUGUCGACACUUCUGAAGUCGCCGUAGACUGCGGGGCUGUACAGCAUUAGGUCCCGCUGCGGCGCGUUCAAACAACAAGAGAGCGAUUCGGGAGAUCCGUUAACAAAUUAGCCGCGGAGAAAUUAUUGCGUGUAAUUAACGAUCUCCCUAAGUAAGGCUUAAUUUGGUAUUGUGAAUUGUGAUGUAUCUGAUAUUACUAAAUAAAAUAAAGUUAAGAUAAAAGCAUAUAAAAAAAAAAAAAUUUUAUGGAAUUACAGAAAAUAUAUCGUAAUCAUUAUGUACGAAAAUAAAUAAGAUAUUUUUUCAUCGAACUUUCUCACUGCAUAUAACAUAAUCUUUCUCCAGCCCUAAACGAAGCCUAAAUGACUUAUAUUCUAGUUUAAGUACUUUUUUUAAAAUAUUAUGGUAUAUUUUUAAUUAUUAAAAUUUUAUGCAUUAGUGGACGUUAUGUGAUGGACGGUUUGGUGAGAAAAAAAAAUAAUAUUGUUUUUCAAAAUCUAUCCACGAAUGCUAUCUCUACUGCUCAUUAUAUUAGUCGUAACUCGUAAGUCAUAUUAGAGCACCGGGGAAAGAGUAGGCCGAUUUCUGUACAGUCGGUUGAUGUUGCAUUUGUUACGCCUUUUAUUUUGACGCUUAUUCUUUGCUUCUUUUCUCCUCUUUUCUUUUAGUUCCUUUCUCUUUUAUUUCGUUGUCCUCCUGAGAUAUUAGCUGUCUCAUUUUAUGUAGCUAAAUUCAUGCACCUAACUAAUAAAGCAGGUAACAUGCAAUUCAUCUCUUAAAAAAAAAGAAUAAUAAUUUUAACAUUUCAAUGAUAGUAUAUAUCUUAGAUGUGGAGUGUACUGAGAUUUGCACACACACCAGGUGCAAUAAAUAGUUUCCCUUAGUUACUCACCUGAACAGGUGGCUGAAUCUGGCCAAAUUGUAUAACCUUUACUAUUAUGAAUGAAUAAAUAAUAAUAAUAAAAGAAAAGGAUUAGCAGAGAAAAGUUGGGGAAUAAUAUAAACUUUUCAAGUAAGCUAUGCUGCAGGGACCCAGCAAUAAUCAACCCUUAAGAUCCUCAAAAACCUUUUUAAGUGGCAAUUGAUGGACUCAAACAAGUGAGGAAAAGGAGCAGGAAAUAUAACAACUAAAAAGGAGGGAGGAGAUCGAAGCGGGGGUUCUCAAAAAAAGGACCAAAAGGCAUGCAUUUAAGAUGAACAGAAGGAGAAAAAAAAAAAAAAGAAAGAAAAGAAAUAAGGAAAGCAAAGCAAAAGGAGCGGACCAGCUUAUUAUACACUGUUGUCCUUUCCUCUUUGAGAGGCGCGAGUUAAAUGAAAAGAAAAGGGUGACUAUUGCGUGGUAGUAGGAUACAAUGCAUCUCUGCCAUGUGCACACACUCCUAGGCUGCAUUAGAAGCGGACAUUUCUCAUUGUUUGUAGCAGUGUUGUGAGGAUUAGUGGAGGCGAAGUUUAUAUAUAAGGGUAUGUGUUAGGGUGUAACAAGGAAGGGUUUCGUUAGAAUAACAUGAUAGGUUUUAUUAAUUAACCUCCCACCCACGUAUGAAAAUAGAUUUUAGGUGUGUGGGAUAAAACUAAUGGGAAGCAUGAAGAUAGAUUCGUGAGUGCGUGGAGUAAAACUUCAUUAAUAUAUAUAUAUAUAUAUAUAUAUAUGAACUGGGUUACUAUUAGUAGCAAAAUCCCAUUGUUGCUACCAGUUUUUUAGCCUUUGGAUCAACUCUUUUCAUUAUUUCUAACCAUUGGAUUAAAUACUAUAACCCAGUGGGGACCACUCAACCCUAGGGGCCACAAUCUAAACCGACUAAAUCAUUUCUGACCUUACAAUUUUUCAUCCAAGGGUUAAAAAUUUGAUAGCAAAAAAACAUUUUACUAUUAAUAGUAUUCCAGCCUAAUUCAUAGUAUAUAUAUAUAUAUAUAUAUAUAUAAUAUAUAUAUAUAUUAUUAUUCGAUUGUUUCCAGAGCAAGUGGCAAAGAAUUUUGUGGUCGAUAUCCGAAGUUCUAAGUUGGAAUUCUAAUUAUUCACAUUUUCAGCUAAGUUUAUUUCUAACAGAAAAAAAAUUUUCCGACUGAAAUUUUUUUUUUUAAACGUUUGGUUUGUGUAAAGGAAAAAUUAUUUUAAGCAUGCGAUGGAAAACUCUGCUUUUCGUUUUCGCGCUCAUUUAUCGAAAACAAAAACUUGGAGAAGAAAUCGCGGCUCAUGUACAGUAAAAGCAUCGGCGUCCACGAGCUUAGGGUGAAAGCUCGUGGACCGGCGUGAGUGGUCCAUAUGCUGGACCAACACACCCAAUAACUCUCUCUCUCUCUCUCUCUCUCUCUCUCUCUCUCUCUCCUCUUCGUGUGUGUAUAUAUAUAUUUUAUAUAUAAAAAGAGAGAGGGAUUAAAGAAUUAUUAUAUAUAGAUUUAUUUAUAAAUAUAUAAUAAUUUAUUUUAUAAUAUAAACUAUAUAUUAUUAUUAUAUAUUUAUUAUAUAAUAUAUUUAAAUAUAUCUUGUUUAUAAAUAUAAAUUAUAAUAAUUAAAUGUAUUAUGAUAAUUAUUAUAUAUUAAUAAUAUAUAAUGUAAUAUAAUAGAAAAAAUAUAUAUAUAAAAAUGUUUAUAUAUAACAUAAUAAUAAUUAUUAUAUAUUAAUAAUAUUAAUAUAUAUAAUAAAAAAUAUAUUAAAUAGUUUUUUAUUUUUUUUUCUUUUCUUUUCAACUAAACAACCGUCACGGAAAAUUAUUUUUCUUUUCCUACAAACCAAACACAAACAACGUAAAACUUUUUUCCACCAAAAAUUUUUUUUCACCGAAAAUUUUUUUUUCACAGUUUUACGUGGAACCAAAUACACCCUAAGCGAAGUGGGUAGCAUGCUACCUAUUUCUUAAAAAAAAAAGAACAGCUAAAAAAUAAUUAUAAUCUUUAACUAAAGAUAAGAGCGACACGUAGGAGCUCUCUGCUAGGUCUGGUCUUCAAGUUUUGUUAGUGCUUGAUAAUAUGGAAGCUCUAUUUUAGGUGUGGGCUUUAAGUUUGAAUUCAAAUAUUGAAAUUCAUAUUUGGAUUCAAGACUUCAAUUUGAAUUUAAAUUUUAAAAUGACUAGUUUGGUAAAGAAUUUACUGGUUUUGAGAUUUUACAAAUCCGGACAACUUUUUUUUGUAGAUUGACAGAUUAGAACCAAUUUUUAUGCUCUCGGACCAAAAAGCUCGCUGUCCACCUCUACUCUCUCCUGUAGGAAAAAUUUUAGAAUGCAACAGGUAUAUUAGUGAUGUAGCGUAACAAACUAAUUAAAUAUCUCCUUUUUAGAAUAUAUAUCCCAUCAUAAUUGUAAAAAAAAUUUCUAUUAUAUUUUUAUUUGAAAAGAAGAAAUAUGAUUGACUUGUUAUUAAUGACGUGGUGUAAGUGUAACAGUGUAGAAUUCCUCCGCCCGUAGAUAUGUACAACAUAUCUAUGACAAUAAAUGCCCGCUGCAGUUAAUGCAAUCUCUUCUAUAAAAAUGCAACGACAACGAUCAAAGAAUACCCCCUUUAUCCUUCGGUCCCAGACUAGCAGAUUUUUCUUUCCGAGAAAGAAAAUGUUGACAAUUUCAUUAAUGAUGCCGUUAAUGGUUUUUCGGAGAGCAUACAAUGAUAACCUUUUUGCUGCUUACUGUUCGGAUAAAUUUGAAAUAAAGCUAAGCGAGUGCGAUAAUCAACGAACUAAAACUGUACAACCCUGAGAACAAAUGGUACAAUAUCAUUCUAGCUUGUGCAAAUAAAAUUCAAAGUAGUGUAAUUAAAAUUUUCACUGUGCAUGCGCAAUGUUAAUCUUGCAAAUUCAAAGAUAUUUUGAAAACUGUGCACGCUAAACACACAGCCCUCAGCAAAAUGUAUUGACAGAAACGUCGGUGCACACCGGCCAUCCCUAGAGCAAAAAUAAAAUAAAUAAAACAGGUAGCGUGCUAUCUACUCCUCAAAAAAAAAAAAGAAAAAAAAAAUCAUGUUAGUAAUGUGACUAUAAAUGUUCUAAACUUUUUCGCUCUUGGGUCUCAACGAUUUGAUGGGCCUAAGCUAAUUAAUGGGCUGCAGUGGGCCGUAUGGAUCUGAAGCAGCUGCAUUGUCGGAUAGCUUAUUUAAUUUAAAUUUAAUUUAAUUUUGUUUUUGUAUUGUUAAGACGAUGGUUCNAAAAAAAAAAAAAAAAAAAAAAAGAAACCUCGGAGCACCACUUUUUGACAGCAACAUCAGCGCAUGCACCACUUUUUUAUUGGGGGUCUGCAAAUGUCUUUUUCAAAAUAAUUUUAGAAAUUUGCAAGAAAUUAAAUAGUGACAUCGAGAAAUAGUAUAAUUUUUGGUAAAUGGCGCAAAGGUUUGCCAAUUAGUGCAGCAUCAAAACUAUUCAGUAGUGCAAUGUAUUUUUGUAAAAUAAUGUAAUAUAUAUAUUAUAUUAUUUACACGUGAUAUAUUAUAUUAUUCGUAAAAUAGUAUUUGAUUUUACAGCGGUGUAUAAAUUAUACAAAUGUUGAAUUAAUUUAUAUAAAUAUUAUACUAUUCAUAUAAAUAUUGUAUUAUGUAAAAAAAAUAUUGUAAAAUUUGAGAAAGAUGCUGCAUUAUUUAAAAAAUAUUCCAUUCCUUUUCUUUUCUUGUUAAUUUAAGAAAUCUCGCUUUUUUAAGAAAAAUGUACAAAUAGUAACUUGUUGGUUGUACUUUUCAAUAUAAUUAAUCAGCAAAUAUUUUAUGCAUUUUGAAAAAAAAGAUAGUUCAGUCAUCUUUUUAAAGCGGACUAGAUUUGCAAGAAUUAAAAAUCAAUAAAUUUAAAAAUAAAUUUAGUUGAAAAUAUAAAUCAACUAAAGUUUGUAUUUAAAAUUUUGAAUACUAAUCACUAAAUUCUUUGCUACUUAUAUUAGGGAAGGAAGGUAAUGGAUUCAACUCUUGGUGUG